rnacentral:lncRNA from 1 species
AUUUUUAUAAGUUCUUUUUUAUAAGUUAUAAUUUUUAUUAAAAUUAUCAUAGAAGAUAUUUUUUUUUUUUUAAAGCUUUUCAAAAUUUAUGUUUGUCUUGAUUUUUGCUUUUAAGAGAUAGAUAAACUGAAAAAAAGCUAGACCAAACAAGCACUAAAGCCAAAACAACUCAAACCCCAACCUUAAAUUGCUCCCAAUUAUUAAUUAUGAAAGUUCCUCAAACUUGGCUUAAAUGACUUAGCUUAAUGUUAUUUAUGGCCUCUGGAAAUAAAUUGUAAAGUUCUAUUUAAUUUAAAAUAAAAAUCUAAAAGCUUGAUUGGAUGUAAGAAUAAGAGUUUUUUUAAAUUUUCUUCAAUAAUUUAAAGAUAUUUUAAAAUAUUAUGUCUAAAUAUUUUCGAUUUAAUUUGAAAACCAAAUUGAUUAAUAAUUAAUUUGAUUUCAAUGUGGCAUUCAAAAUUUUGGAAAUAAAACUUAAACCCAAAACUGAAUUAAGAUAAUAAUAUAUAAUAUUUCAGCAAAUACAUAUAUAGAAUAAAAAGUAUAGUAUCUUGUUUACUAAUUGUAUGUAAGUUUUACUUUAGGGUUUCUUAAUGCAUUACUGUUAUCUCAGAAAUAAUCCAGCAAAAAGACUGAUGAUCACUUUGAGUAAAUUGCAUUUUACAUUUUUUUGUGAAUAAUGAUUAAACAAAUUGUUGACCUUGAAAAGUUGGAAAACCUGAAGAAACUUUUGAGUAAUCAUUCAACCAUUCACCUUCAUUAGAGGCUUGACACAUGAUUACAUGGAUUCAACAUCAAGUUAACAGCCUGUCUUUCAUCUCAUUAGAUUAUUCCCAGAACUUUUUAUGUAUUGGAUAAAUGACUGCUGCGGUUGGAUGAACCAUUUCUACAGUAAAACAAUAUUGAAUUGUCUCACGUACAAGUAAGGACCUGAGAUAUGUGCUUGCAUUCAACCCAAAUGGGUUAGCAUGUAUUUAAUUUGCCGGUGAAUUGGGAGCAAAGUAAUCUGGUGCAGUGUACACUGAAUUUCCUAUAUUGGGUUUCGGGGACUGCAGCUUUCUUCAAACCUACAAGUUGACAAUAAUACUCUUUGCAAGUCUUUAUCCCAAACCAUAACAGUUCCUGUUCUUCCUCAAAAUGGACAUGUAUAAAUAUCCAAUCUCUCUUUCGCUUCUCCUUCAUCAAUUAGCUUAACACUUCAGCUUCCAAUUUCAUUCAAUUUUUCUCUAAUUUCCCUCAUUGUUAAUUUCUUACUCACUAGCAGAGCAAGAAAAUAGAAAUGUCGAACAUGAUGAAGCUUUCUAGUCCUUUUCAAGGAAUCAUUCUAAUUCUCUUUGUUAUGUUAGGCAUAAAUUCAGCAUCUGCGGCAACAAAGUUUAAUGUGUUAGCCUUUGGUUCAAAACCAAAUGGCAAAACAGACUCGACCAAGGCUUUCUUCAAGGCAUGGAAUGCAGCCUGCGGCUCAGCAGACUCAACCAUGAUGUACGUACCAAAAUGGCGGUAUUUGCUUGGUUCUAUGGCUUUUAAAGGUGACUGCAAAAGCCCUCAAAUCACCAUAAGAAUAGACGGCACCCUUGUGGCUCCUGGAGAUUAUAGUGUACUUGGAAAAUCAGCCAAUUGGCUUAGCUUUGAAGGAGUCAGCGGUGUUUCUAUCAUUGGUGGUGCACUUGAUGCCAAAGGACCUGCUCUCUGGGCUUGCAAAGCUUCCCACACCAAUUGUCCUUCCGGAGCCACGGUACUUUUUUCCAUUCAUUUUAUACGUAAGCUCUUUUUCUUGGUACUUAAAUUAUAAUUAAAUUCUUAAUUUGGUUUCUAAAAUUUAAAAAUUCAAAGCUUUAUUUCUGUGUUCAAUUUGCACAUAAGAUUAAAACCAUUAGUCCAAUAGGUGAAAUUUCCAAAAUAUCCAGUAAAUUUGCGACAAUGACCUGUUAAUAUGACAUUUUUCAAGUCAAGUGCCAUGCUUUUAUUGAUUAUUUUAAAGCAUCUCAGUUAUUUGGUUAACAAUCUUAGUUGUAUAAGCUAAUUAAUGGACGGACUCAAAGUUUGAGUAUCUAAUUUCAUUUGUUAACUAAUAAGAUAAUCUCAUGAUUAUGAAUGUUUUGUAAAUUGACUUGAAAAUUUUCAUUGUGUGAAUGUCAGACGCUGAGUUUUACCAAUUCCAACAACAUCAAGAUCAAUGGAUUAAUGUCAUUAAAUAGCCAAAUGUUUCACAUUGUGAUCAAUGGCUGUCAAAAUGUGCACAUCCAAGGGGUCAGGAUCAUUGCUGCAGAUAAUAGCCCCAACACUGACGGCAUCCAUGUCCAAUUAUCCACAAAUGUAGAAAUCAUAAACUGCUCCAUCAAAACUGGAGAUGACUGCACCUCAAUUGGUCCCGGUACCAAAAAUUUAUGGAUCGAACAAGUCACUUGCGGUCCUGGUCAUGGAAUUAGGUUCGAUAUAUUAAAUCUCAUCAAUAAGCAAUGUAUAUUUUUUUUUUCACUUACUCUUCUUAUUUUGAAACUAUGGUUUUAAUGUUGGUAUUGGUUUUGUGUUGGUUAUUUUGCACGUUUCAGUAUUGGAAGUUUAGCCAAGGAUUUGAAAGAGGUAGGGGUCCAAAAUGUUACAGCAAGAAAGACAAUAUUCUCUGCACCCAAAAUGGGUUGAGAAUCAAGUCAUGGGCUAGGCCUAGUAAUGGAUUUGUCCAAGGGGUUAGAUUCAUGGACUCUGUGAUGAGAAAUGUGCAAAAUCCUACUGUUGUAGACCAGAAUUAUUGCCCUCACAACCCAAAUUGUCCCGAUCAGGUAUAACAUAACUCUCAUGACUUGUUUCAAUAUUCUAACUCUUUGGAGGUUAAAAUAGUCGGAUCACUAAAUAAUGUCAUUAAUUUAUACCUACGUAUUUGGAUUUCACAAAAAAAUUUGUACCUAAGUAUUUGAUUUAAAUAUAGUAAAUGUAUGCCUUUUUUGUACUUAAAAAUAUUAAAUUCCAAUCUCCUCAUUCCCUAAUUAAAAACACCAUUAAUUUUAAUUAUUUAUUGUCCUUGUCAGAGAGAAUUAGUUCAUUAUUUUCAACUUAAAAACUCUACUGAAUUAUCAUUUAAUUUUCUUAUUUUUUUCUUAAACAAUGUAGGUUUUGGGAAUAAAAAUUAGAGAUAUUGUAUAUCAAGGUAUUCGAGGAACAUCAUCGACACUGAUAGCUAUAAAAUUUGAUUGCAGUGCCAAGCAACCAUGCAUUGGGAUAAGAUUUCAAAAUGUCAAUUUAACAUACUUGAACAAAGCUGCUCAAUCAUCUUGUAGCAAUGUGGUCGGGAAAGCAUUUGAUUUAGUUCGACCAAACAGUUGUUUUGUAUUAAUGGAGAUGAAAUGGUUGCCCUUUUCUUUUUGGUACAUGUAGAGUAUGUGGCCGAUUAAUUUCAGCCCUUGAUUGGAUGUAAAUUAUUAUGUUACAUAAGGAGAUAAAAUUUAUUGAUUAAUUUUUAAAUCCUAAAUUAAGCAAUGUGAAUGUGAUCCAUGUCUUUUAUUAUCUUAAAUUUAUUCGAAUCUAAGAGCAAACUGUUUAUUGGCACAAACAUGCAAAAAAAGAAAAAAAAGAUAGUAAAAGUGUCAAGAGAAGUUGCCUUUUGGCAUGAAGGCAAGGAAUGACAGUAAAGUCUUGAAUGAGAGAAAAAGUAUGAUUAUGGUUAUGAUAAAAGGAAGAGCAACAUCGCUGGAAAGGAGAAGGAGACGAUGGAGGGGCAAAGUGAUGUAAAUUACCCUUUGAGAUUGAGUUUCAGAAAGACAACCAUAGGAGCAAGGCCAUCGAGUUUAGAGGUUUCCUAUUAGGCCAAGUUUGAGAUGAGCUAUGUAGGUCUAGCUAGAGUGGGACAAUUGGGAUAGGUUUUGAUUGUGAUAAGUGGGCUUAGUGCAACUAGGCUUGGAAGCUUAGGCCUUUGAUUUGAGUAUAGGCCACAUGUUGUUGGGCUCAAGCUUGCAUGAACCUGUAAUUUGGACAUUGAUGAGCCUUGUGGAGAUGAGUUGGUUUUAUGAUAGGUUGAUGGGGCUAUGCUUCUCAAAUUGUGUGACCCUAUUUCACUUUUGCUAGAUCCACUAUCAAGCUUGUGUUACUCUAGUCAAUUUGAAACCCAAUCCGAGCAAGCUUUGAUUGGUUUCCAUCUGGUUCGGUUGAGAUGAGCCGAUUAGUAAAAGAUGUUUUUAAAGGCUUUCCCCUUUUUGGGUCACCACAUUGACCAUGUAUUUCAAACAGCCUAUAUUUGACCUAUUGUGACUCGAAUUACAGAAAUCUUCCCAUUUAUCAUUCAAGUUCUUAAAGUGUUAGCUUUAAAAUUAUUAUAGUUUUAAUUAUGACAAAAUGAUCAAAUUUACUUGAGCAUUCUUUGAGUAAUCCUUGACAAUUUCUUGAAAUGAUUUAACUCCCAUACACUUGUUCUUACAUUGACACAAGCUUGACUCUUGAAGUUAUUGAACUAUAUCUAUAAGCUUGUGUGACUUAGGUGUAUGAGUGCUUAUGAUUCUCAUUCAUUAAAGUUUGAUUUAAAGAUUAAAGGAAAAUCUUGAUGCACUCAUUAAGAAGGAGUUUUGAAUAUCUUGUUUAAUGAUGAAAAAGAAAAAUGAGAGAAGGAAGGCUAAAUCAAAUACAGUUAAAUAGGUCUUCAUGUUUAAUUUAUAUGUGUGAUGCUCAAUUUUGGUUUUGUUGAAUAUUAUGUAAAGAAAAGUAGAUGCAUUGACUAAGGGGGAGCACCUCAUUAUGCAUAAAGAUUUGAAGCAUUCAUAUUGAACAUAGACAUUGCAUCUUAAUCUUGGAGUAUUUUGUGAUCAUAAAAAAUAAGAGAUAGAGAAUAUUGACUCUAUAUGUUUUUGAUGAUAGCAAAAUAUUCCCAUUCAUUGAUGUCUAAUAUUUCUACUUGAGUGUGCAGGACAAAAUUAUAUGCAAAUAAAUGAUCAAUCAUUAAUAUGCACAUAUCAAAGAGCAUAGAAAUAAAGAAGUCACAAUUGAUUAACAAGAAAGAAGCCCCUUAGUCGAUUAGUGAAUAGUUAAUUAGCUAAGAUUUAGAUCAAAGGUUUGGCAGGCUGAAGAGUAUUGAGAAACAGAACCAACUUAGUCAACCAAUGAAUGAGUUAGUCGACUAAGUGCACACUGCCAAAACUGUCAGAAACUGGGAACAGAAGACAGAGAUGACUUAGUUGACUAAGAUAUCAAUUAGUCGACUAAGGUCAUUCUGCUAGAAAAUUUGAAUUGAGCAUUAGAAGACAACAUAACGGCUAAAAACGGCUAGUUUCUAUCUCCAACUGCCAAAAUUGAUUUUGCAAGUAUUUAAAGCCUCUCUAACAGUCAAAAACAAGAGAGAGAAGUCAUUCAUAGUGAUUUUGAGCUUAAAAGACCAAAACCCUUCUCUUUACUCUUGUAUUUCACUCCCAUCAUUUGAAAAAGUGUUUGAGCUUAGCUUUGUACAUUUUAGAUCAGCUAGGUGAUCAAUUGUACUUCAUCUUUUCUUAAUUUCUUGAUUACUUAGAGUGUGCAAGGCACUUUAAGGGGUUGAUUAAGCUUGGGUCAGCUUGGUUAUUGUGGUAGGUUCUAACUUAGCUUUGAAAAGUUAGUUGUUGGGUUUUGAUUGAUCCCGUGAAAAACCACUGUUGUAGGUUGUGGUUGAGCCUUUGAAAAACCACUUUGGGUUUUGGUUAAGCUCGUGAAAAAUCAUUGUGAAAGGUUGUCGUUGAGCUUUUGAAAAACCACUUUGGGUUUUGGUUGAGCCCGUGAAAAACCAUUGUGAAAGGUUGUCGUUGAGCCUUUGAAAAACCACUUUGGGUUUUGGUUGAUCCCGGUAAAAACUAUUGUGAAAGGUUUUGGCUAAGCUUGGUAAAAGCUAUUGUAAAGUUUAGUGAAAGCUUGUAAAUUUCACCAUUCUUAGUUGAUUGAUUGGAAAAUCCUUGGUUGGAUAAUCAAGGUAGUGGAUGUAGGUCUUGGACUGAACCACUUUAAAUUCCUGUGCAUGGUUUACUCUGUUUUUAUUUUCAUUGCUUUUCAAAUUAGUUCAUCAUCUUGCCAAGAGCAAAAAAGUGCUAUUCACCCCUCUCUAGCACAUUUAUUUGGGACCAACAUAAAGUACUAAAAUCAAUUCCUCUAUUAGGAUAUAACUCUAAAUAAGAGGUGAGACUAAUACUAUCAUCUUGCCACCUACACCAACCUAGGAAAUCCAACAUAAUCUAGUAAGAAUUCCUACACAUUAAUUGGGUAGAUUUGGUUACCUAGAGCUAAAUGAAUAAACUUAUAAUUACUUACUCUUUUUUCCUUUUGAAAUAAUAAUAGCUCGUUUGAAAGAUAGUAUGUAAGCAUUAAAACAAUAUUUCAAACAUACUAAAAAUAAUAAUGAGAAUUUCCAUCUAAUUUUAAAUUGAUUAAGGUAAAUGUUAAAUAAGUAAGAGAAAAGUGAGAUGUCGAAAGGAAGGGGUGAAAGUGUUGGGACCUUUGUCCAUGAGCUGAGGUAGGAUAUUAUAUUAGUUUAUGUUAGAAAUCUUCCCUUAAGAAUCACUCACAGUUGGCUUUCUAAAAUAUGUGGGAGAUAUGCACGAUUUGUUGACAUGUUCAUCCCACUCAAUCAAUCAAAUAAGAGAACUAGAUAUAGGUUCAUCUACUUUAAAUCCAUGGUUGAGGUCAAGAGAGUUAUCUCCGGUUUAGAUGGGGUUUGGUUUUUUAACUAGAGAAUAAGAGCCAACCUUGCCAAGCAUAGCUUUAGAAUGUCCUAUUGGAGGAGAAGAAGGACUAACCCACAUCAAAUCCCUAAUAAUGGUCCUAUAAUAAGAGUCGUCCCUACUCAAAUCCCUAGCCAUAGCUUUGCAGUGACUGCCCCUAUUCAAAACCUCAAUAGUGGAGCAUCGUAUUUUGCACAAGUCCCCCUUCCAAUUUUGAACCAACCACCAGAAAAUAAUUAGAGGAGCUCCAACAUUUCAUACCUUUAAGCACUUACAAGCAUAACGGUAAAUACCCAAAUUACAUUGUCACCCAUUCCACCUAUUAAUGAUACAUUUAAACAUUAUUUAGGUCAUGUGAAAAAUGAACUCCUACAUUGGUUGGAAGGUUGUGUUGUGGGAAUUAGUAGGAAAUUUAAAGAUUCAAAUGUCAUUGCAAAAGAAAUCAAGGAUAGUGAAAAAAUGGGUUUCUCAGUUAAAAGAAUUUCUAGUCUUUAAUUUUUUGGGUCAUUCCCUGAUAGAAAUCCCUAUGAAGAUUCAAAGGCUAACAAAUGGGAAUGGCUAUCAAAGUGGUUUGAAAAAUUAGAGGAGUGGUCGCCAAAUGCUAGUAUGAGAGAAAGGAGGUGUUGGCUUGCAAUUUCUGGAAUUCCUGUUCAGGCUUGGACCAAGGCCAUUUUCUAUAAUAUUAGUAGCCUUUUAAGUACCUUUAUCUGCUUAGGAGAGGAGACAAUGAGUAUGUAGUCCUUUGAAGAGGUUAGAAUGUUGAUCACUACAGAAUCAAGGACAAAGAUUGAUGAAAAUUUCCAUCUUGCUAUUGGUAAUCAAUUGUUCCUUGUUUAUGUUCAUGAAUUUUCACCUGAUUGUGUCAUGGAUUGUCUAAGUUGAAAACAAUGGCAAGAUGAUGAUUCCUCUUGUAGUUCUUCCUCUUUUUCUAUGUCUUCUGAAGAUAAAGGUACAUCUUUGACUGGUAAUGACAUGAACAUUCCUGUGGAGCCAUUAGUGAUUUAAGCAGAAGCCAAAAUAGUUUUGAGCCUUCCAUUGACCCAAAACCAUUGCAUGACAAUGAGUUUCUAAAUCAUGAAUCGACACAAAAACCUUUUCCACUUAAGUUCAAAGGCAAUGCAAAUCUUGAUGCUAGUCCAUCUGUUCAUGAAUCAAGGGAACUCUCAAGCCAUUCAAAUGGACUCAUUAAAUCCAACCAUAUUCAAGCCACCAAUGAAGUUCACACUCAACUUGUCUUUCCAUUUUGUGAGCCCAUGGUAAGCAACUUACCUAUUGAAGCACAAUUAUGCCAAAAGCCUGAAGAGCUUGUUGAAAUUAAUCUCAUUAUGGAUCUGGAUAGUAGUCGGUGUCCUUUAACUUGUAUUCAUAUGCCAAUGCCUUUAACUUCAAAAUCAACUUAUCACUUUUCUGAGCAGCAUCAAAAUUCCCCUAACCUAACUCAUCCUCUUUUCACACUCAGUUACCAUCGGUUGAUUUCUCUCUUAGUGAAGACUAGGAUACAAAUCAGGACUACGAUAUAGGGCAUAUUGUCAUCUCUAACGACAAAGAGAAGCAUCUAUUUAGAGGAUAUUUCAGAUUUGUCAAAAGAUGGUAGAAAAAGAUCAAAGAAAAUUAGUAAGCUGCGAAAGAAAUGAAUCUAUAAUCUCACUCAUAAAACUCAAUCUCAAUCGGAUUCAAAAGCUAAUUUAUCUCUUUCUAACGAAAAUACCAUGAGAAAAUAUCCAAGCCUUUGUAAUAAAGUAAAGGAAACUUGGAAUUUGGGGAAACAGUUAAGUCUUGUACCUCAAUCCUUAAAGUAGCUUGUGUUGGACAAUCUUAGGAAAAUUAUGAAGACUUUUGUACAAAAAUAAAGUACCUAGCUUUUACUUAUAUUCAGUCUUUAAGACUUUUUCUCUUUUGAGAUACUAUAAAUAGGCUUAGUCCAAUCUCUCUCCUAUUGUCUUUGGUUUACAGUUCCUGCUUUUAUCGGUUGGGCAAUGGCUAAUUUUGUUGAUGCUUCAAUUAUCUAUGGAUUUAUGAUAUUUUCUUUUAGUUUAUGCUAGUUUGGUUGGGAAACCAAAUUAGUUGUCCUCUCUAAUAGAUCAACUGAGCGUAUUUGGCAAGGGUUUAAUCUUGAGAGGGCUUUUAGUUUAGCUGAUAGGCCAUUAGAGGGUAUUAUCACAAUUUGGGAGAAAUAUUCCUUUUCUUUAAGUUCUAUCCUUAUCAAAGACAGAUUUAUUUUUAUUCAUGGGACCUAGUUGGCUGAAAAUUUUAAUUGUGUUAUUUUCAAUAUUUUCUCUUUAUGGGACACAGUUAACAAUCAAGUUCUAUGGGAGGACCUCUUUUACCUCUGGUCUGUUCUUUCUACCAAUUGGUGUUAUGUAAAAGAUUUCAACUCUUUCAAAUCUUUUGAAGAAAGAUAGGGAUAAAAUAGCUAAGAAGAAGGUAUAUUGGAUCUAUCAACUUCAUUGAUCUUUGUGAAAUUUUAGAUCUUCUGCUUGUAAAAAAGAAAUUUACAUGGUAUGGCUCUAACAUCAAACGCAGCUGACUUGAAAUAUUUAUUCUCUAUUCAAAGUCGUUUUUUCAGUAUUAUAGUCUUUAACAAAGUUGCUUAAUCAAGAUUGCUUAAAGAAACACUUUCAAACCAUUGCCCAAUUCUCCUAUCAUUUAUAAUGUUUGGCUCAUGUCUAAUUGCUUGUUAUUAGCUAUGAUUUACUUGUUGCCUUUACUAUUGGUUUUUCAUGUUUGUUGUCUUCAUACUUUUGUUUUUGCAUCUUGUUGGUUAUUGUGGUCUGGUGCCUUGGUAGGAUUAGAUUUUAUUUUUUGAUAGGCUACUGCUUUGGUUGAUAUCUGGUUGAAAUAGUAGAAUUUUGCAUACAUGUUUUUAUUGGGAUGGGUUUUUAGUGUAAACAAGUGUUGCUUGCAAAUCUAUGUACUUCAGGUGUUUUCUUAGCUUUCGCUUUAGCCAUCGACCUCCUUUUGGGGGAACUAUACUUUUGUAAUUACCAUUGAUUGUUAAUGAAUCUCUCAUGAUUGGCUAAGCCAAAAAAAAAUUGAAUAUACUCAUUAAUUUUUUUGUAAUGAAUUGGUAACAAUCAACAUUGACAUCUCCUAGACAAAUAAAAUCCCUCUUUAACCUGACGAUGUUAUGAAAUGUUGUCUUACUAUAUGAGUGGAUCGCAAUACCGAAACAUUAUAUCCAACAAAGUCUUGAGUGAAAGCCAAAAUUAGGAGAUCAAGCUUUAAUCCCAUCAAACCAUUUUACUAAACAUGAUCAAUUUUUUGUUUUUCCCUCAUUAAAUAAAGUUUUGUUCUAGAAAGAGAUGAGGUAGAGAAAGCUCGAGAUACAUAUAUUCACCCAAUAUUUUUCAUCUUUUUCCAUUUGGCAUAUAGUAGCCCCUAACUCUUGGUAAUUUCUAUAAACACUUACAAGGCAACAUUCAAGCCAAUGAAUGACUUUCACAUCAACAAAACCAAAGCACAACUUGCUGCUAUUGGGGCUUAACAGGGGUAAGGGUGAUUCCUUCAGCGUGGUUAUGGUCCUUGAAAUUGCUUGGAGGUACGACUUUGGUCUUUCACCCUUGUCUUUCGUGAGUAAAGGCUAUGGAUGAGGAUUAGCAGUAACAUUGCCCAAUGGUGUAUUCACCUGGUGAGGGUUAGCAUUAACAAUACUAUAUUAUCAUCUACUAUAAACAAGUUACGGUGGAGCUCUCAUGGGAACCCCACUACUUUUAGUAAGAUGUAUGUUGCCUCUUCGUCUCUAAAAAGAAUCCCUAGGUUUGUGCUGGAUAAAUAAGCUCCAAGCUUAUAAUCGAAGAACCAAAAACCAUCAAGAUUUUGAAUUGCCCUUUGAGCAUUGCCCAUGGAACAAAACUAUACAAAUCCAAACACCCUCCCCUUCCUUGAACUCUUCCUUGGAUGAAAAUGUUGACAAUGACAUCAAACUUCUUGCAAACUAUUCUUAACCAUGGAAGAGUCACUAUAAAGAUAAGUUGUCGAUGAAUAUUGUAACAACCUCUUUCAUUUGUCCAAUCCCUAGAUGUCGUUGUUCCUAUGCUUUUCUCUCCAAAUAAUUUUUUUCCUCCAAAAAAUAGACAUAUAUAGAAUAAGGCUUAAAAUCUUUUACCUUAAAUAAGAUACGUUGCAAAAGAUUUAUAGCAACUACUAUUUUUUAUAAUUUCAAACUAUUCAAUUUUAAUUGUAAAUUAUGUGAGAUACACAAGAAAUUUACAAAAAAUGUUAAAGAUCCUACACUUAAUUAAUGAUUGAGAUUGCACAAUUAAAUAUAAUUAAUUUUAAUUUUUUCAUAAUUUUGAAUGAGAAUUGUUCAGUAAUUUCAAUGUACAUAAUAAAUUCACAAGAAGGUGUAAUUUGCAUUAUAAGUUGGAAAAUUCAAGACACUAGUAGUGAAUGGAAAGAAUAAAGUUUUUCUUGAGGUUCAUAUUCCUUAAUCCUUUUUAUGAAAUUAAUUGGUAAUUAAAUUAUGUGCUAGAUUGCAACAAAAGUAAGUUACUGGUGAAUAUAUUAUUAUUAUUUCAAUCUUAUUUACUCAACUAACUAACAUAGUUACUUUACUUUUACCAUAGUUACUGAGUGUAUAGUUACUCUUUUAUCUUUCAUUUUAUUCAUGUAAUUACAAACUUUGUCUAGCAUAUAUAAAUGAUGUUGGCUUAUUUUAAACUCUUCAUAUGAAAAUAUAGAAUAUUUUCCCCUAAUAUGGAUUUUGGUUUUCUUUGAAAUCUUUCGAUUAUUCACAUGGUAUCAAAGCAACAAUCAAGAGUUUUGGACUUGUUUCUAGUGAUUUUGUGUUAGUUUUCUUCAUCAGAUUGUUUAUUACUCUUUUUUCCUUGUUCUUUAAUCCAUUGUUUCAUCAUAGAUUUCUUCAUUUUCUCAAGAAAAAUUGACUUAAGGUUUAUUGAUUUUGCUUGCGUGUUUAAGAUUUUUGGAGAAUUCUUUACUAUUUUUUCUAAUUUCUUGAAGUACUUUACAUUUCAAGAUUUGAUUUUUUUUUAUUAAAAGCAUGUCUUUAUUCUUCCACUACCAGAAUGUCGUAGCAAGUCUUCAACUUGUCUGGCAAAAGACUUUCAUUGACAUUAGAAGUUGGCUUGGGUAAAAUGCCUGCAACCUUACAAAAGCUUAGCACUGCAUGAUAACAUAUUGGUAGCAUGACAAAUAUCUCAAAGCCUAAACAUACCAUUAGCUAACACCCUUUACCUACCAACCCGAAAAGGUUACCCAUCAAAAUUUCAAUCCCUAAAUUAUUGCAUUCAUAUCAUCAAAAACCCAAAAUCAUUAAAACAAUUCAAAAAACCCUCAAGCAACGCCACAAAUAAAAAGACAGCCUACCCCUAAACCCUUCCAAUUUAAACAAAGAUAUUUUUAUUGCUCCUAACUUGAAACUUUUUCUCCUUAAAAACAACAAUUCAAAAAAUAAAACUCAUUAUUUCUUUCUUACAUCAAUAUAGUACUCUCUUUUGUCUUCUUCUUUUCCUUUAAGAUAUCCAUAUCUAUAUCUAUUAGCAGCUCAUCCUUAUCUCCCUCACAAGUGAAGCCCACUUUUUUGCCCACUGCUCAUGUAAUUUUUGCCUCAUUCCUAAUCACUUCAUUCGUAUUCUCAAAGUCCCCAUUUGUGAAGGAUUCAUUCACAAUUGUUUCAUCCCCUUUCAGGUUUCUCCCUCACUUCUUAAAUUUAUCUAGCUUAAUACCCCUAAUUCUCAUUAGUUUCUUUUCCACCUUUUUAUACGUUGUCCAUUUUCUCAAAUUGUCACUUUUAAUUUCUCCAUUUUCUUUCACAUAUUUCUCAUUCUUUCUUUCUAUCUUAGACUACUCUUCCCAAAUAAACUCUCUUUUUUCUCUUAAUCUAGUGCCAUUUCCCUUAGCUUAUUGCUUUACUUCUUUCCUUUUGCCUUUACUAAUUAUUGCAAGGCUUGAUCCACUUGAAUUUCUCUCAUUCUCCAACCCUAAAACUCCAUUGUUAAUCUGUUUUGGGUCUACACUAGGUUUUUGUGACUCAACAUUAUAAGACUUUAAUUCUCCAAUCAGCGCAAUACUUACACUAUCAUUUCUUGAGCCAUUCAAUUCCUUUCCCGACCAUGACCUAACUUUCUAUUGUGUUGGAUUUUCCUUUAUCUCUCUCUUUUUUAUUGGGUUUUCAAUCUUUUAUUUUUUAAAUUUUUUGUAUCCAUUCUCAACAUCUUAUCUUCUAUUUCAUUUCCUUGGCAAUUUUUAUCUCUUUCUUGUUGCCUCUCUUCCAUCACAUCUAACGAUCUUGACCUUUGUACCCUUUUCCCUUAUUUCAUACUCUUUCCCAUAAUGGAUUCUGUCUCUUUGACACUACCGUCUAUCCCAUUAUUAUUUUCAAAGCCUCCCCUUUGACUCUCUUCUAACUCUUUUGUAUAAUCAUCACUUUUUCUCAAAAUCCUUCUCUUUUCAUUCUCUUGGUUUGCUCUCUUUUCCAAGCUUUCUAUCUCUCUUACCACAUUUAUGCUAGCAACUUUUCCUUCUUCCUUUAUACUGGCCUUUUUUUGUGCUUGCUCAGCUUUAGAUCUGUUAUCAUGAUUCCUCCUUUGAUCUUCAUGUAUCUCCUCACCUUUGGUCCCAUUAAUUUUUGCCCUCUUACCGGACCACCUUAUCCUAUCUCAGUAUUAUGAUGAGCUACCAAAAAUCUGAGUUUCUCCAUGAUUCUUCGAUUCUUUUAUGUUCAAAUAUGGUGAUUUGUAACAGCAUUGAUAAAAAUGCACAUUAUUUUCCUUUAUCUCUACAAUCUUCACCAUAAACUCUUUCUUUUCCACCUUUAAUCUUACAACUUCAUUUAAUCUACUAGGUUUUAUUGUUAUUAUCUGCAUCACUAUUUUGCCAAAGGAUUGCAACUUCAAUGUUUCCCCAUCCAUACACAUAAAGUCCCUCAUUAUGUUUGCUAGACUCUUUAAUGUGAAGACAUUCCUUGCAUGUAAUGACACUCCAUGACAGGCAAACUAAAUCCUCAUACUUUCCACCAUUACCUACUCUGACCAUUCUAUAAUAUCGUUAAACCAUUCCUCAAGCUACAUUCAUUUUAACUCUUGCAUGGCUUCAAAAAAGCCCAUGUCAUGAAAUGAUAUAAUGAACUACUUGCCAUUCCAUCUUCUCACAUCUAUGCUCGAAACCCAUCCAUUCUCAUGUGAUGAGCUACUGUUUCAAGUUCUGAUUGACUUCAACAUGUCCCCAUUACACUUUGUCUCAGCCAUUGUAAUUGCUUUUCAUCAACAAACCCUUCACACUUUAACAUUUUCCCUUUUUCUAUUUGUUCUUUCUUCAUCUACAAUUUUUCUUGUUUUUGACCACCUAUUACUGCCAUCGUACAUGAUUUCUUCCUUUGAAUAGCCAUCUCUCUCACCUGAGUAUCAUUUCUUCCUCCUUCCCCUUCCUCUCUUUGUUCCUUCACUACAUUAUUCCUCCAACAACCAUGAACCAUUUAGCUCCUUGAUUGCAUUGUUGGCUACUUUUAUUGUUUUGAAAUGUACGAACCCUAUCUUUCAUCUUUUCAUGCUCUUUUUGAUAGGGAUAAACACAUCCGCAAUCUCCCCAUAUCGUUGACACAUUGCCUUUACUUCUCUCCAACCUACUUGUAGUGGUAAGUUAUUCACGAACACCAUCACUACCCCACCUUGGUCAUUCCCUACAUUCCUCCUUGCCUUAUUGUUUACUCUUUCACCCCCAUUCCAUCCCACUUAAUAGCCAUAUCUAGCUGCUUGACUAAUAUACUCAUCGUACCCACCAUCCUCACUAUACCCAUUGUACCCAUUCCAUUUCAAGAUUUCACUUGUUGGUUGUUUCAAUGUAUGAUUUGGUUUCUUCUAAGUCUGUGAUCUCGUCAAUUGAAGAUCCACAAUCGCCCUUUUUUCCUUCAUCACUUGGACUGUCAUGGUUUUGUUUUUGUUACACUAAAUUUCACCUCUACAAAUUACUUGGUUUAAAGUAGGUCUUUUACCUUUACUUUGUCCAUUCAGAACACGCUAGGGUUUAUCGAUGGAUCAAUUUCACAACUAAUGGUGAUCAACAAGCUUUACAUGCCAUGGAUGACAUGGCUUUUGGAGUCCUUGACAGCACCAAUUGCUUUUACUAUGCUUUACAAGGACAACGCAACUUAGAUUUAAGACACUUUUAAAUAAAGGUUUUCAGAUUUAGGACACUUUUAAAUAGAGGUUUUCAUUACCUGAUGAUGUGCGAAUUUGUAAACUCCAACUCACUUUCAAUGGCAUUACUCAAGGUAACAUAUCUAUAGGCCAUAUUUUACUGAGUUGAACUUUGUUUGGGAAAAACUUUAAAAUUUUAAACCUAUGUUGAAAUGUACUUGUGGUGGUUUUGAAACAUUUGUUGAUUAGAAAGCUAAAGAUAACAUUUUUAGGUUUCUUAAUGGAUUAAAUGAUAUUUCUCUGUUUUAAGGUCACAUAUCAUGAUGAAGCCAUUUCCAUCUUUGGAUGACAUUUAUAAUCUUGUUGUUAGAAAGGAAAAUCAAAGAAAUUUUCAUGUCAAAUUACAUCCUCUUACUGAAUCCUCUACCAUGUUUGUUGUCACUGAGGGAAAGUCUAAAAGUAAGGUAGAUGUUGUGUGUGUUUAAUGUUGAAAGAAAAGGGCACUUGAAAAAGAAGUGCUAUCGCUUAAUUAGCUUUUUAGUAUACUACAAGUUUACUAAGAACAAGUUUAAUGCUAGGAAAGGAUUUUCUCAUUUUGCUAACAAUGUAGUCUCUAUAGUUCAAUUUGAUGAUGUUGGUGAAGAAGUUAUCAACAAUCUAAUGUCUCAACUUAGUCUUUUUAAAGAUCAGACUCAUAAAUUCAUGUGUAUCAUCAAUGAGCAACCAAACAAUGUUGACCUUAGUAAUCUAGGAUGACAUUUCCAUUUCUGAACCUUCUACCUUACAACCUAAAAAAAGUACUAGAUAAAGACACCCAUCUAAACACCUUGAAGUUUAUCAUUAUACCGUACCUUUUCAAACAAGUUUUGUUACUCAACAUCCUAUUACUAAAUAUCUAUCUAGUGAUCAACUUUCUCAUAAUGAUAAAGUUUUUACAACUUCUUUAUCUCAUAUACCUGAACUUGUAUAUUACCAUUAAGUUAUAAAAACAUGCCUCAUGGAGAGAGGAUAUGACAUGUGAGUUGGAUGCUUUGAAAGCAAAUGGGACUUGGACAUUGAUGCCUUUACCCAAUAAUUGUUGUGCAUUUAGAUGUAAAUGGGUCUACAAAGUUAAGCAAUUAUGCUGAUGGUAGUGUUCAACAUUAUAAAGCUUGAUUGGCGGCUAGAGGUUAUAAUCAACAUGCUAGUUUUGAUUAUUAAGAAAUGUUUAGUCCAGUGCCUAGAUACACCAUUGUCAUACUUUUCUUGGCUUUAGCAACAGUCAAAGGUUGGUUUCUCACCCAAUUUGAUUAUAACAAUGCAUUCUUGAAUGGUGAUUUAGAUGAAACUAUUUUUGUGGAGUUGGCACAGGAUUAUCUAUUAAGGAGGAGUGUCUUGCCAAUGCUAAAAUGGUAUGUAACUUGCAAAAAUCUUUGUAUGGCCCUAAGCAAGCUUCAUGGCAAUUUCAAAAUUUACAAAUUGUUUGUUAGCUUAUGUUUUACGCAAUUAAAGGUUAAUUAUUUGUUAUUUACUAAGAAUACUACAAAUGGGGGAUUUAUUACUUUAUUAGUAUGUGUUGAUGAUAUUGUGAUUGGUAAUACUUCUUUAGAGCUUAGCAAUGAGGUUGAGGUUUACCUAAGUUCGACUUUUAAACUUAAGGACUUAGGGAAACUUAAAUAUUUCCUUAGUUUAGAGGUGGCCAAAUCUAGUAAAGGGAUUUUGCUUUGUCAAAAGAAGUAUAUUUUGGAUCUUUUGUAGGAAUAUGGUUUUUUGGGUGCUAACCCAUCUUUACACCAAUUGACCAUCAUCCUAAAGUAUCCAAAGCAACAAAGGUAGAUUAGUUACAAGAUAGUAUGGUGGAUAGACAACUGGUUGGGAAAUUAUUAUAUCACAUUUUCACAAGGCUUGGUAUCUUUUAUGCAAUGCAUUUAUUAUCUCAAUAUAUGGAUAAGCAUAGUGAUAGUCAUUUACAAGAUGGAUUUCAUAUUUUGAGGUAUCUUAAGGCUGCUCCUGGUCAAGGAAUUUCAUUUUCAUCUGAUGUUAGGCCUACAAUGAUAGUGAUUGGGCUAGUUGUCCCAAUACUAGAAGAUCAGUGACGGGCUAUAAUUUACUGCUUAGGAAAUCUUUAAUCAACUAGAAGGCAAAGAAAUAGAGUGUUGUAGCAAGAAGUUACCGAGGCUAAAUAUAGAUCAAUGGUAGCAACUUGUUGUGAAAUAAUGUGGUUUUAUACUUGCUUAAGGAUUUUAAUGAAGAGCAUCCAAAUAUGGUAAAGCUAUUUUAUGAUAAUAAAUCCAUGUUAAACAUUUGCAAAAUCUCAUAUUUCACGAGCGCACUAAACAUAUAGAGAUGGACUACCAUUUUAUUAGGGAAAAGGUACUAGAUGGUCUCAUCAAUCCUUGUUAUGUUUUCCACCAAGCUGCAACAUUUUGAUUUGUUCACAAAAGCGCUACAGGUAGGACCUUUCCAUUCACCUUUACGCAAAAUGAGUACUAUCAACAUUCAUAACUCAUCUUGAGGAAGAGUGAUGAAUAUAUUAUUAUUAUUAUUAUUUUAAUCUUAUUUACUCAACUAACUAGCUUAGUUAUUUUAUUUUUACUAUAGUUACUGAAUAUAUAAUUAGUCUUUUGUCCUUCAUUUUAUUUAUGUAAUUACAACUUUGUCCAGCAUAUAUAAAUGAUGCUAGCUUCUUCUAAACUCUUCAUAACUAUGAUGUCUUCUGAUGGAUAUGUUGAGUCGAGCAAUUUUUGGGCUAUGCAAAGACCAGGACAGUGAGGGCACCAGAUGAUUUCGGAAGAUAAACUAUGAGAGAAAGAUAAGCAGAGAAAAUAUGGUUGUCACAUAUCAGGCGCCAUUGCUUGUAUCUUAUAUUGGGGAUCUGUCGUGCUUGUCUAUUGAUUUUGACAGUCAAGCAAAUGCCACCUGUCAUAUCUUUGGGAUUUGGAUCUUUUACGUGCAAUAUUUUGGAUUAACUUAGAGUAACAUGCUUAUUAUAAGAAACAAAAAUAAAAAACUAAACGAACUUACCUUUUCUGAUAUUCUAUUGUCUCAAUGCAUGCAAGCCGUCGAAAUGGGUAUGUUGAAGUUGGUUUAUGGACUAUCACUUAAUUUUGCUUCAAGCUAUCUUCUUAAAGAAAAACGUGAUUAGAUUACCAUAAUUUUUGCAGGUUCAUUAACCAAGUACAUGGAGCAGUACGGUUAGAGGGCUUAAUACGUUACUGUUAUCUCAGAAAUAAUCCACCGAAGAGACUGAUCACUUUAAGUAAUUUGCAUUUUACUUGUUUGUGAAUAAUGAUUAAACAAAUUGUUGACCUUGAAAAGUCGGAAAACCUGAAGAAAUUUGAGUAAUCAUUGAGCCAAUCACCUUUAGAGUCAAGACUCCAGCACUAUUGUUGACCAAUAAUCCACCGCACGGCACUUUUUGGAGUCAUGGACUUAAUUGGAGCCAUGGAUAAUUUUAAUGCACGUCUAGCUAGGCUUGUUCUUUUCUUCGAUAAAAAUGCUAAUAAGUGUGGCUUUAUAUUAUUAUUUUGUCUAAGCUGUUAACAAGUGUUCUUAAAAUAUUUAAUUGCUACAAUGCUAUAGUGCUAAGUAACCAUACAUAGCACCUAAGUAAUAUAAAACUAUACCCUAACUUUUCUAAAAAUAUUCUAAAAGAAAACACAACCAAUGACCUCCCAUAGCACAUCAAUUUGUUAAAAAGGCUUCCAUAGUUUCUAAGAUCUUUACAAGGGUUUAAGACUCAAAGGACAACAAUUAAAGUAUCUAAUUCAAUAGUUAACGAUAUUUUUCCAAAAUCAUGAUGAUUCACCAAAUAUCUCUAAAACUAUUACUUUCAAAAUUUCUCAACACUCCAUCACAACUCGAGAGACCUGACUUUCCUAGUACUGGAUUGUCGAAAUUACACUUGAGAAAAUUUCCACUAAACUUUUGGAAGAAUUUUGAGAUUUCACAAGGCUCGGAGGAAAUGUACAUCACAUGAUUCAUUCCUAUAUCAUGUACGAAAGCUUGGUUUCUUUUUAAUUUUCACUUGUUAAUUAUGUAUUAACUUCAUCGGAAAAUAAAGACUUGGAUGCAAAAUUAUUCCAAGAGAAAAUGAUAAAGGAAAAUGGUGGGGAGCUAGUAAAAUAAUUGAAUCCGUGAGAAUGAAGGCAAAUUUCUAAGCUGCCGACAUUAAAGUAUAUUAGAGUAAAAAGUUAGCAUGUAUAUUGAUGCAAAAGAGGCUUUACACAUAAUUACAUUGUUUCAACAUCAAGUUAACGGCCUGCCUUUAUUCUCAUUAGCUCAAUCCCAAUAGUUUCUUAUAUAAUGGAUGAAUGAUACCAAUUAAAUAAUUAAAUUACCUUUUUUGAUUUAUAAUAAUCAACAUUUUAUUUGUAAUCGGUUAAUUAUUAAGUCUUUAAUUAAGUAAAGAAUGAAAAGAAGGUAGAAAAGUUAACUUUCGGUGACUAAAACUGAUGAUCACCCUGGAAUUGCUACUGUAAAUUUUGAUAAUUUUUUUACAUACAUAAAGAUUUUGAAUUAUACGUCAAAAGAUAAUCUCCUCUCAUCUCAUAAAUUUUACUUAUAUUUAUCCCAAAAUUCAUACUCAAAUCAACUAAAAUGGAUUCCCAAAAUUUAUUCACCGAUGGGUGCUGCUCGGGGACGAUUUUGAUAAUAUUUGUUAGUGAAGAAAAAAAUAGAAAAAAUAUGAAUGUUAUUAUUGGUGGUAGUUUUCUUUAUGCCCUUUUGAUAUAUCUAUGUUAUCACACACUCAUAUGAUGAAAGAUUUGAAGCAAUCAUUUUGUUAUUGGGUAAUGCAUCAUUCUUGUGGGUACAGUUAUUUCACAACUUUCAUUUACUGCCUGAAAUUUAGGCUUUUCCUUUUUGUUAUAGCAGUAAUAAUUGAUUCAUCAUGAGUGUUUCACUGCGAAACAGUGCUGUAAAAACCUUCUAAUAGUUUUCACUUCCAUACUGUGGAUUUUCACCAUCCUGCUACAAUUUUAAAACUAGUUUAUGUAGAUUUCGGGGUACUGCAACAUUUCUACUCAAUGUUGUGGUAAAAGUAAUUUGUUAGUAUUGAUUUACAAAAGAAUUUGAGAUAUAUAUACUUGGUACUUUGAGUUCGUGUAAAAAUUCGGUUAAAAAAUUACAGUAAAAUUAUGUGACAAUUUAUCCAAACGUAUCUGAAUUUCACACUUCUUAAAUACAUAACUAUUAUUCAUACGGAUUUGACAUUUGGAUCUCAAAAUUAAGGAAGAAAUUCUAAAAAAAAAAAUGACAUAUACAUGUUGACAUCCUAUCCCAAGUUGAUUUUAAUUUUUAUAAAACUAAUUUGUUUAAUUUGUAUGCAUUCAUUUCCAUGGCUGCUGCAGUUGGGUGAAGCAUCUCUACAAUAAAAUAUAUACUAAAUUGCCUCAUGUAGAAGUAAGCACCAGAAAUAUGUGCUUGCAUUCAACACAAAUGAGUUAGCAUGUACUUAAUGAAUUCGGAGCGAAGUAACGUGAUGCAGUGUACACUGUAUUUCCUAUACACACAGAAAAGGGAGGCUUUGGUUUCAGCCAUUGCAGCUUUCUUCAAUCCUACAAGUUGACAAUAAUACUCUUUUCAAGUCUUUAUCCCAAACAAUAACAAUUCCUGUUCGUCAUCAAAUUGGACAUGUAUAAAUAUCCAAUCUCUCUUACACUCUCCUUCAUCAAUCAGCUUAACACUUCAGCUUCCAAUUUCAUUCUAUUUUUCUCUAAUUUCCCUCAUCGCAUCUUGCUCACCUUCUUAGCAGAGCAAGAAAAUAAAAAUGUCGAACAUGAUGAAGCUUUCUAAGUCCUUUUCAAGGAAUGAUUCUGAUUCUCUUUGUUAUGUUAGGCAUAAAUUCAGCAUCUGCGGCGACGACAAAGUCUAAUGUGUUAGCCUUUGGGGCAAAACCAAAUGGCAAAACAGACUCGACCAAGGCUUUCCUCGAGGCAUGGAAUGCAGCCUGUGGCUCAGCAGACUCAACCAUGAUAUACGUACCAAAGGUCGGUAUUUGCUUGGUUCUAUGGCUUUUAAAGGUGACUGCAAAAGCCCUCAAAUCACCAUAAGAAUUGACGGUACCCUUGUGGCUCCUGGAGAUUAUAGUGUACUUGGAAAAUCAGCCAGUUGGCUUAGCUUUGAAGGAGUCAGCGAUGUUUCUAUCAUUGGUGGUGCACUUGAUGCCAAAGGACCUGCUCUCUGGGCUUGCAAAACUUCCCAUACCAAUUGUCCUUCCGGAGCCACGGUACUUUUUUCCAUUCAUUUUUCUUAUUAAACUCCUUUCUUUAGAUUUAGUUACAUACUUGAUACUGCAAUUAUAAUCAAAUUUACAUUUUGAAAUCUAUAAUUUGGAUAGAAGAUUAAUACUAAUAUUAGGAUAUCUUAUAAUUAAAAAUGUUUUAUAAGUUGACAUGGAAAUUUUUAUUGUGUGAAUGUCAGACGUUGAGUUUUACCAACUCCAACAACGUUAGGAUCAAUGGAUUAACGUCAUUCAAUAGCCAAAUGUUUCACAUUGUGAUCAAUGGCUGUCAAAAUGUGCACAUCCAAGGGGUUAAGAUCAUAGCUGCUGGUAAUAGCCCCAACACUGAUGGUAUCCAUGUCCAAUUAUCCACAAAUGUAGAAAUCAUAAACUGCUCCAUUAAAACCGGAGAUGACUGCAUCUCAAUUGGCCCCGGCACCAAAAGUUUAUGGGUCGAACGAGUCACUUGUGGCCCUGGCCAUGGCAUUAGGUAUGAUAUAUUAAAUGUCAUCUAUACUUUUCCUAAAAAUGAAGCAAUGCAUAUAAGCUUUUUUUUUUUCACUUACUCUUCUUAUUUUUGAAACCAUGAUUUUAUAUUGAUAUUGAUUAGUGUUGGUUAAUUUACACUUCGCAGCAUUGGAAGCUUGGCCAAGGAUUUGAAAGAGGAAGGGGUCCAAAAUAUUACAGUGAGAAAGACAAUUUUCUCUGGCACCCAAAAUGGGUUGAGGAUCAAGUCAUGGGCUAGACCUAGUAAUGGAUUUGUUCAAGGGGUUCGAUUUAUAAACUCUGUGAUGAGAAAUGUGCAAAAUCCCAUUGUUAUUGACCAGAAUUAUUGCCCUCACAACCUAAAUUGCCCUGGUCAGGUAUAACCAACCUCUCAUAACUUGUUUCAAACUUUUUAUAUUAAUUCCGACUUUGUUGACGUUAAAAUAGUUGGACCAUUCAUAUUUAAAAAUAUCAUUGAUUUAUAUUUGAGUAUUUGAUUCAAUAAUAAAUGCAUAUAUCUUUACUCUUAAAGAGUUCAAUUUAAACAUGCUCUUUCUCGAAUUAAAAAAGAGUUUUUUAUUUUAUUUACUUAGACGAUACGCGUUAAUUUCAAUUUAAAAACUCUAACAAAAUAUCAUUGCCUGUUCUUUCAAUUCCUUAUCUAUUUUCCUUCAAUUAUUACAGGUAUCCGGAAUAAAAAUUAGAGAUAUCGUAUACAAAAAUAUUCGAGGUACAUCAUCGACACCAAUAGCCAUAAAAUUUGAUUGUAGUGCCAAGCAACCAUGCACUGGAAUACGUUUGCAAAACGUCAAUUUAACAUACUUGGAGAAAGCUGCUCAAUCAUCCUGUAGCAAUGUGGUCGGGAAGGCAUUUGAUUUAGUUCGACCAAAUAGUUGCCUGUAAUCAUGGAGUGAACAAGGGAAAAGUUAUUUGCCCUUCUCUUUUUCGUACAUGUAGAAUAUGUGGCUGAUUAACUCGCAGCCCUUGAUUGGAUGUAAAUUAUUCUUUUAGAUAAUGUGAUAAAUUUUAUUUAUUGAUUUAGAAAUUCUAAAUUAAGCAAUGUGGAUGUGAUGCAUGUUUUUUCGUAUGUUUAAUUUAUUUUUAUUUUUCACCUUUUAUGAACCAUUAUUCUCAAUUUAAAAAGUAAAAAUUAAUAUAUAUAUAUAUAUAUAUAUAUAGGUGCCCUCAAUGUUUGGAGAUUAUUACAUUGUUUUGAGUUGGCUUUAAGUCUCCGUAUCAAUUUUCAUAAACCCCAUGUUUAUCCUAAUGGGGAUUUUUGAAGACAUUGGUAAGGAUAUCUCGGAUAUUCUAUGUUGCGACAUGGGCUCUCUUCCUUUUUCCUAUCUUGGUAUUUUUUUGGUGCAAACCCUUAACGUGUCAUACUUGGGAUUCAUUAAUUAAUAAUUUCAAGAAACGGUUGGCCCUUUGGCAAUGCAAUUACUUAUCUAUUGUGGUCUUAUGUUGUGGGUGUUGAUUAUUGAGAGAGAAAUGAAGAGUUCAGAAAGCAUUAUUGAUUGUUGAGAAAGAGACGAUGAAUCUGGAAAAAUCUAGAGAGAGUUAAGGGAUGAAUCAAGCUUGAUUCAAAAUCAAAUGAAAUUCCUUUGAUUCAGUUAGUUUACUAACUGAAAUUAAAUUGAACCAAAAACUAGGUACAUACAAAACAUGAUGAAGAAUAAGAUUUGGUAAUAUUUUCACUGAACCAAUGUGUAACUACUGCUCUAAGAUUAUUUGGCAUUUGAACAAAGGCAUUUUUAACAGGUAUUGAUGUGAUGAACAAGUUCAAACUACAUGCUAUAUGAUCAGUAGCUCCUGAAUCUACUAUCCAACAAUAAGAAUCAAUUUUAAAGAUGUUAGUGUAUGAUGAUUCACCAUAUAUGCCAUGAAGAGAAUUAAAACAGUAGGGUCUAGUAAUAAUCCCUGCCACUGAUGAGUUCACAAUUGAAGGCUUGACUGAUUGAACAUUUAUACCUUUGAUAGCAGUUGGAACAGUUGAGGCAGAUGGUUUAUCACCAAAGUCAGUAGCACCCUCAUUAAUAAGUGUCAACAACUUCUGAAAUUGUUGCUUGGUUAAAGAAAUAUGUGGCAUGACACUGUCAAUAUCUUCCUGCUCAGCAGAUGAUCCACUUGCAGAAACAUUAUUCACGGAAGAAAUCACAUUUUUUAAAACACCUUUUCCUUUAGUAAACUUGAAGUCUGGGGAAAAUCUAAUCAGACGGUAACAAUUGUCCUUAACAUGACCUAUUUUCCCACAAUGGUGACAAAUGAUAUCUGAUUUCAUUUUCUUCUUAUUACCACCAACACUGGCCAUAGCAGAACUCUCUAAAAGUGGCUGUGUUUGCAUAUGAAUAUUCCUCUGUGACUCUUCCGUAAUUAUCAAAUUAUAAGCUUCAUCUAAUCCAGGAAAAGGUUUCAUGAGUAAAAUCUGAGACCUAAUGGCUGCAUACGAUUCAUUCAGACCAUUCAGGAAUUCAUACACAUUAUCCUUAGCAGCUUGAUCUAUAUACUAUUGAAAACAAAGUUGAUUGCAAUUUCCACAAAUACAGUGAGGCAAUGGCCUGAACAUCCUUAACUCUUCCCAUAUUACAUUUAAUUCAGUAAAAUAAGAAUCGAUUGUGCGAGUACCUUGAGUGGUAUUUGAGAGAGUGAAAUGAAGAUUGUAAAUCCUUGAGUCAUCCGGCUGAGAAAACCGUUUCUUUAUAAACUCCCAAAUCUGAGCUGCUGAAUUGAUGUAGAAAACUAUUACCACUAUCGGAGGAGAGAUUGACUUUAAAAGCCAUGCAACAAUUAAAUUGUUGCAUCUCGUCCAUGCAAUAUGAAGAUCAUCUGAGACUUUUGGUUCCUUGAUCGAGCUAUCGAUAAAUCCCAACUUGUUCCGUAUUGAUAGUGCAAGAGAAAAAGAACGGCUUCAGGAUGUGUAAUUAUUUACUGUGAGCUUUGGAUUGAUCACUACUGAGCCGUGGUGAUCAAAAUGAUGAAGGUAGAAUGGCGAUUGUGGAUCUUCCAUUGGAGAACAUAACGUAAACUUUAAGACAGAUGAAGAACUCAUCAGAUUUCAAGAAUCUAAAAUCGAAGUGCUAAAAGAAAAGAUCAAUCAACAAAUCUUCUAAAAAUAAUCAAGAAAGAUCAAAUCUAAGAAAAUCAAGAAACUCCAUAUCCUUUCCUUUGAAUCUAAGAAUUAGAUUCUCCAAAAAAUAAGAGAAACACCAACAGAUUAUUAAUUGGCUCUGAUACCAUGUUGAUUAUCGAGAGAGAAAUGAAAAGUCUGGAAAGCAUUAUUGAUUGUUGAUAAAGAGACGAUGAAUCUGGAAAAAUCUAGAGAGCGUUAAGGGAUGAAUCAAGCUCUGAUUGUUUUCUUUCUUGGUAAAAAACAAUUGUCAGUACAACAGACUUUUAUAGUCAAGUCAAGUCUUCAUAUAAAAUCAAAAUACAAUAAUAACCCUAAACAUUUAGAAUAUUUACAAAUGUACCACUGCACAUGUCAAAAUAUAAUAUUUAACAGUGGGAUCAUGCUUAACUCUAUAUUCCAUGUUCUCAACCUUCCUUGCUUCAUAUUUUUUAUUCAUUUUCCAGCUAUUUUGUUUCAGCCUUUUGUUGUGCUGCUACUUUGAGUGGUUUCACUGCUCAUUGCUUUGAGCGGUACCAUUAUUCAUAUUUUUGUACAUACUUUUUACCAUUAAUAUAUCCUUUCUUUUUUGGCUGAGCAAAAAAAAAAAAAAACUUAUCUAUUGGGGGUAGGAUCACUCUCAUUAAUUCGAUGUUCAAUUCACUACUUCUUUCUAUUUUUCGAUUUUCAGGCUCCUAAUAGGGUCAUCUGUAAACUUGAGCAAUUGAGGAGAAUUUUUUUAUAGGUGGCACAAUUGUUAAAAAAAAGAUAACAAAGGCUGAAUGGAGCAUGAUAUGUACACAAAAAAGGUUCGAUCGUUUAGGGAUCUCAAGCCUAAAGUACAAGAAUUUGGCCCUUCUUACCAAAUGGUGGUGCAGUCUGCUAAUGAUGACAAAGCACUAUGGAGGUGGAUGAAUUUGGAAAAAUAUGGUAAUGGUCGUUCCCAUUGGUUACCUUCCAUAUCAAAUACGAGGAGAAUGUCUACUGUUUGGAGAUCUAUUGUCAAUCCUCCCUCAAAUGCAGGAGUUCAAAAUCUUGUGGGAGAUAAAGCAUGCUGUUGGAUAGUGGGUGAUGGUGCCACUAUAUUCUUUUGGCUAGACAAAUGGAUUGAUGAUGUUCCUUUUAGCUCAAAAUUUCCACGCCUUUUCUAUUUGGCCAAUUCGAAGGAAUUGAAAGUUUUUAAAGCUUGGAAUAAUGGUUCUUAGUCCAUUAGUUUUCAACAUAACUUAUAUUCUUGGGAAAUGGAAUCCCAUGGCUCAAUUGCAAGGUUUGGUUUUAUUCUAUUGGGCAAAUUUCUGCUCCACCAAAGCUGCAAUGCUUUCUUUGGCUCACAAUUAACGACUCUAUUCCCACGAAACAUUUCCUUCCAUUAAGGGGUGUUCAGUUCAUCCUUAAGCAACUUCGAUGUCUUUGGUCUAGUCUUGUUGAAGAAACAAGCUCUCAUAUGUUACUUACAUCAAACUUAAGUUGGUAUGUGUGGGGUCUUGUUCUUAAAUGAUGGGGUUUUAGGUGGCGUCAACUAGAUUUCAUUGCUUUUUGUAUUCAAUCAUGGUUUGUAGGCCCUUUUUUUGGUACUACCUAUAAACGAUGGAUGAUGGUUUGUGGAGCUAGCCUUUGGUCUUUCUAGUUAGCGAGAAAUGAAAUUGUGUUUAAUAACAAAGUGUGGGACAAGGAUGAAAUUUUUUUUCCUUAUCAAGAUGCAUGCAAUGUUUUGGAUUCAUGCUUGUGAGGGUGUUGAUGCCAUUAACAUCAUGUGUUGGUGGUAAAAGCCAUGGAACUCUUCACAGAUUAUGGCCAUUCUUUAUGCGUUGAGUGGUUUUGCUACUUCUCCCUUUACAAGCAUUCCACUUUCUAUUGAAUUUGACUCUAAGGUUGCACUUGCUUGGGUUGAGAAAAAUGACCUAAGGCCAUGGAAAAAAUGACAUAUUUUCAAUGAGAUUAACUCUCUUCAUCUCUCCCGUAUAGUCUCUUUCCACCAUAUCUUUAAAGAAGGUAACUCUUUUGCUGAUUCAUUAGCAAGGUACAAUGUUGAGAAAUCAUCUUUCUUCUUUGCCUGGUGGCAAUACUUGCUGCACUUUAUUUUAUGCUAUUCUUCUUUGGUGUUUUCAUUUUGCAUGUUUAUUUGCAGACUUUAGGUUUACAUUUACAUGUUUAUUUGCAGACUUUCUAGGCAUAGCUUGGCCUAAAAUGGUGUAAGCUGUUUUUUUUUCUUUUAUCCCCGACAUAUAUAUAUAUACACUUUUGGGUUGAAGCUUCCAUUUCAAUAAUAAUAGAUUUAAAGUGAAUUAUGAUUAAAAGUUAAGGAGGUAGGAGCAAUUUACCCUUUAUUUUAUGAUAGUUAGGUCUUAUUUAACUGACUUAAAUUGUUUUGAAAACUUACCGAAAAAGAGAACUUUAUUAAAUUGUUUUAGUAACCUAAUUUGAUUAGGAAAUUUUGCACCAAAUGUUAUGAAUUAGUAUUUUCAAAUUGUUUAAUUAAUACUAGUUUAAACAAACAUAUAAGGUUAAUAACUUGGAUUAAACAUAUGUUUUAUUUCAUAAUAUGAUUCAGAUGGAUGUGGAUGUGGAUGAUUAUGGAUGAGGAUGUAUGCAUGGUUAUAUUUUUCAUGGUAUUUUUGAAAUAUGGACUAUGAGCCUUGCCUUUCUCUAUAUUUUUUCUAGAGUUGUAAAAUUCUUUUCUCAUCUUAUUCCUUUCGAAUGUAACUUGAAGUUUCUCAUAAAUUAUGUAAAAGUUAUAGAGUUUAUACAAUUAGAAUAAGAAAAAAUUUUUAUAUCAUCUGGAAGAAGGAGGACCAAGGGACCAAGAGACACCAAGGAAGUUGCGGCCAAGGCUUAUGAAGACCUUUGAAUGCAAUUACCCAAGAUAUGACCAACUAAUUUUUUUUAUAACUCAAGGAAAUUAGAUUAGAUAAUAGUUUAUAAACAUCCGAAGUAGUAUACAUGUGAUAGAUUCAUUUUGUGUGAUUUUUAAAUGCUAUUCGUGCAUGAAGGAUGAGACCUAAAUAAUAUGUUUAAACCCUGUAAAUCAACACACAUACCUAAAUCUCUCAUAUAUUAUAUUAAGUAAAUGUUAAGAACAUGGAUCAGCUACCUUCCAUUAUCAUGUGCAAAAACUAGAGUUCUUUUUUUCAUUGGCUUGUUGAGUUACUCGAAGUAGACAAGAAUAUAUCUAUUCUAUGAUAAUUGGGUCUUUCUUAACUUACUUAUAUGAUUUGGAUGAGUCACUCAUGAUCAUAUAGUGUUUGGAUCAUUUCAAGUUUAAAUUGUCUUAUGUUCAAACCAUUUUAAGUUUGGAUCGUCUCGGAUUUGGAUGGUUUUGAGUUAUUUUGAAAUUCACAUAAGUUAUAGACUUUUUUGUAAAUUCCAAUGCAAUAAAUAAUUUUGUCCAUUUUCAUAAUAGAUAUCAAGUCAAUAUCAUUGAUUAAUUUAACAAAUUUAAGAAAAAAAUAUGAUUAAAAAUUAGAAAUUUAAAAAGAUUGAUUAAUUUAACAAAUUUAAGAUAAAUUUUAUACACUAACAUUAAAUAUAAUCAUAUAAACAAAUAUUUAAUUGAAAAAAUAGUGGACAUUAUAAAAAAGUGCACCAAUUACCGCUCAUAAGAAUAAUAACUUAAUAAAAAUAUAACAUCAAUUGAUCAAUUAAUUGACCUAAUACUAACACUUGAAAAUCAUAACAAAUUCAAAAUCAUGAUAUUAUAAAUGAAUUAAUAUAAUAUUAUUUUAAUUUUAAUUUUUGAUCAUUUUUGCAUUUUGACAUUAAUGGAGAUUAAAAAUGUCUUGACUUGAUAAAUAACAGUAUAAAUUUAAUCGAUGGAUUAACUUGCAUAAUAUUAAUUAAAAUUUAAAAUAUAAAUAGUCAAUAUUGAAAAAAUUAAAAAUACAUUAUUUAUAUAACUGGAUACUAAUUUAUAAUAAUAUUAUCUUUCAAAAUUUAAAAUUUUCAUUUAAGAAAAAAUAUUUAAUGUUUAUUCAUUUACUUAUUUUGAAAAUGAUCGUUUAAUUAAAAUUUGGAUCUUUCUGAAUUACAAAUUCAAGUUUUAACAAGUUUUGAGUUUAAAAUAAGAUUGAUCUCGAAUUUUGGAUCAUUGCAAAAUCUAAGUUAGCUUCAAGUUUGGAUAGUGUUAAAGUUGGAGGAGUGUUUUAGUUCAAUCUGUUUCACGUUUGGGUAGCCUUGGGUUUGAAUUCUUUCAACUUUUUACCUUUUUCAAUCAAUUCAAAUUGGAACCACUUCAAUCUCAAGUCAGUUAAAAAAAAAAAGGAAUACGUUAAAAUUUUUUACACUGGGUAGUUUCACCUCAUUUCUAUCACUUUUAUAUAUAUAUAUAUAUAUAUACUUUGCNUAAUUUUACUUUAUUUUUUACUUUAAACUAUAAAAAUAUUAUUCUUUUUAAUAUUAAAAUUAUAUUUAAUUAAUUAAUUCAAUAAAAAUUAUUAUUAUCACUUGUUACGUUAACUCUCAAACAUUUACAUUAAGAUUUUAAAUUUGCUUAUUCUACUUUUAUAAGAUUUUAUAUCAAUUUUUAUGACUUUACGUCAACCCUUUUCAAUACUAACUUUUAACUAUAAUUAUCUUUAUCUUUAUUAUUCUUUAUUUAAAAAUAAAAAUUUAAAUAUUGUUACAUACUUUUAGCCCAAUAAUAAAAAUAUAAAUGUUUGUUUUUUUAUUAAAAUUAGAUUUUUUUACUUAAUUAACUUAUUACGUUAACUUUAACACAUUUACGUUAAGAUUUAAAAUUUAGUUAUUAUACCUUUAUAAGUUUUUACGUCAAUUUUUAUAGUUUUACGUCAAGGCUUAUCUAUAUUAAUUUUGAACUAUAAUUAUUUUUAUCAUUAUUAUUCUUCAUUUAAAAAUUAAAAUUUGUAUAUCGUUAAACACUUUUAACUGGAGAAUAUAAGUUUAAAUAUUAGGUUUUCACUGAAAUUAGAUUUUUUUUACUUAAUUAACUUAUUACGUUAACUCUCACACUUUUACAUUAAGAUUUAAAAUUUAGUUAUUUCACCUUUAUAAGUUUUUACGUCAAUUAUUACAGUUUUACGUCCAGGCUUAUCUAUGUCAAUUUUGAACUAUAAUUAUUUUUAUCCUUAUUAUUCUUCAUUUAAAAAUUAAAAUUUGUAUAUCGUUAAAUACUUUUAGUCCGAGAAUUAAAUUUAAAUAUUUUUUUCACUAAAAUUAGAUUUUUUUACUUAAUUAACUUGUUGCGCUAACUCUCACACUUUUGCGUUAAGAUUUAAAAUUUAGUUAUUCUACCUUUAUAAGUUUUUAUGUCAAUUGUUACAGUUUUACGUAAAGGUUUAUCUGUCAAUUUUGAGCUAUAAUUAUUUUUAACCUUAUUAUUCUUUAUUUUAAAAUUUAAAUUUGUAUAUCGUUAUAUACUUUUAAUCCGAGAAUAUAAAUUUAAAUUUUUUUUUUACUAAAAUUAGAUUUUUUUCACUUAAUUAACUUGUUACGUUAACACUCACACGUUUACGUUAAGAUUUAAACUUUAACUACUCCACCUUUAUAAGUUUUUACAUCAAUUCUUACAAUUUUACGUCAAGGCAUUUCUAUAUCAAUUUUGAACUAUAAUUAUUUUUAUCUUUAUUAUUCUUUAUUUAAAAAUUAAAAUUUGUAUAUUGUUAAACAUUUUAGUCUAAGAGUAUAAAUUUAAAUGUUUGUUUUUUAGUAAAAUUAGAUUUUUUUUUACUUAAUUGAUUUAUUACAUUAAUUCUAACACAUUUACGUUAAGAUUUAAAAUUUAGUUAUUCCACCUUUAUAAGUUUGUGCGUCAAUUCUUACAAUUUUACAUCAAAGUUUUUCUAUGUCAAUUUUGAGCUAUAUUUAUUUUUAUCCUUAUUAUUCUUUAUUUAAAAAUUAAAAUUUUUGUAUCGUUAAACACUUUUAGCCCUACAAUAUAAAUUUAAAUAUUUAUUUUUCAUUAAAAUUAGAUUUUUUUUCUUAAUUGACUUGCUAUGUUAACUCUCAUAUAUUUACGAUAAAAUUUUAAAUUUAGUUAUUCUACUUUUACGAGAUUUAUGUCAAUUCUUAUUAUUUUACGUUAAGGAUUUUUAAUCAUAACUUUUAAAAACUUUAUGUCUAGGUUUUUUAAUGACAACUUUAAAUUACAUGUGUUUUUAUUUUUGUUAUUAUAUAUUUUUAAUUUUGACUUUUUGAUUUAUUAUAGUGAUAAUCCUAUUUAUAAUAUGAUAUUUCAGCCAUUAAAUAAAAGCAAUGCAAAUAAACGGUUUCGAUUAAUAAAGCAUAAAAAGAGAGUCCAUUAAAGGAAAGAUUUUUUGUUUACCGGUUGAAUUUGUUUACCAGUUUCUUGAUGGGUUUUAAAUCAAUUGUUGCAAUUUAAUCUCAUAGAUCUUAUGGUCUUUAUUAAUUGACCUUACAAUAAGGUCAAAAAUAAUUACCUUACUGCAAAAUUUGUCAUAUCAAAGGCAUCAUUAAUUCGUUAUCCUCGAAAAAGAGCUAUACAAACUGAUUAUUUAAAAAAAAAAAAAAGUCCAAACCUAGCCCAUUCGGCAUCUACCAUGAGUUGGGGCGAUGACCUAAAAGAUGAAAAGGAUGACACUAAUCACCCAUAGAACGGCGAAAGUGAUCUCCUACUUGAUAGCAACCACUGCGAUGGCAUCUCAAGGUCCUAAGUAUUAUUAAGGUUUAAGUCUUUGGGUCCUACUCUUUCUUCUUUUUUGCAAAAACAAUGGAGAUAGGAAGCAUCGGAUGAAACACAUAUAGUUCUAACCUAGUCGGGUUGAUCAAAUCGCCAAUGCUCAGACCAAGCACAUGGGGCAAACCUGAAAAAGUGACUUCGGGGCCUCAGUGUUAAGACGAAGUAAGAUCCAGUUAGUAGGGGUUUAAGCUUUUGUCGAAGAGUUCCCGGUAAAGUUAGCAAUGAAUGUCGGCUUAUAAAAAGUGAUGCUGGUGGUGGCAAUGGCGGCGGAGGUUGCUUUUGCUUUGGAUGUUUGUUGGAUAAGUUUAUAAUAUUUGAUCGUCUCACAUUGGAAGAUAAUUAUUCAAGAUGUGUCUGUUUAAAUUAAAACAUAAAUUUUGAAUAAAUAGAAGACAUCUUUUCAAUAGUUAUAAAAAAAGGAAGAGUUUUCAAUAUAGGCAUCAACCUUUAAAAGCAUUUUGUAAUAAGUUUGUUGUAUCUUGCAGAAUCUUUGUCUGCAAAUCUCCAUAGUAGGCAACAACUAUUUAAAGAAAGUGUGUUACAUCAUGCCUCAAGUUCUUUUCCUCUCUUCUUAUACUAAUUUUCUAACAAUAAAGAGUAGUUGGUGCAAAAGAUGUGUGUCAUUCUUAUCAUACAUUAAGGUAUAAUAAUGUCAAUAUGUAAAUACCAUCAAGGUCCAUAUGAAAGGUUGACAUAUGGCAUUCCUAUUAUAUAUAAAGGUAUAAUGAUGUUUAUGUAAAUACCAUCAAGGUCCAUGUGAUAGGUAGGCAUGUGACAAACUUAUUACACAUGAAGGUGUAAUAGUGCCAAUAUGUAAAUUUAACAUCUUUAUAUAUAGUGCAUUCUUAUUUUAUCAUCGAAGCCAUAAUGGUGCAACAUAGAUAUUCAACAUCUUUGACUUGACAUUCUAAUUGUGUAAUAAAGGUACAAUGUUGCUUAUGUGAACAUAUACAUUGAUGUAUUAAUUUGACAUUUUGAUUAUACAUGAAGAUACAAUGGUGUCAAUUGAGAAAAAAAGAUUUUCUUAUGCUAGUUAGAUAGCUAAUAUUGAUGACAAUAAAUUCACAUCAUAAUCGAUUUUUACCUUAGGAGGUAGUGCUAUUAAUUGGGCAUCUAAGAAGCAAACUUGUAUUACACAUUCCAAAAUUGAAUCUGAAUUUUAUAGCAUUAGCAGCUAUUGGAAAAGAAGCGGAAUGGAUGAAAAAUUUGUUAUUAGAUAUAAAGUUGUGGCCACAACUAAUGCCAGCCAUUUUCAUAUAUUGUGACAAUGAAGCAAUAAUAUGUGUAGCCACAAUAAGAUUUAAAAUGGUAAGUCUAGACACAUAAGUUUACAGCAUAACUACAUAAGACAAUUAAUCUCAAAUGGCAUUAUAAUAAUAGUUUGUGUUAAAUCUUGUAAGAAUUUGACUGAUCCACUUACCAAAGCUUUAUCAAGAAAGGCUAUAAAAUCAACAUCUAGUGAAAUGGGGCUAAAACCCUUGACUUAAAUGCAUUAGUAAUAGAAACCCAACUUUGAGUUCGCAAAACUAACAAUAAAAGUUCAAUGGGUAAUAACAAGUUACUAUAUAUUGUUAUUAUGCACUAAAUUUUUUAUAUUAAAUAGCCUCAUUCUAAAAUAUUCAAUGUGACUGUUAUGAGGAGAGGAUGAGCAAAAGGUUUUUAAUGGCAAUGUUAAAUGCUUGUAGUAACAAAGACAUAAUGAUAAAUUCCACCUAUAUGAAUAUUAAAGUGAUGCCACUUUAAAUAAGAGUUACAAGGGUUUACUCGGGUAAAUAUUCAUGAAGUAAGAUUAGCACAAGGCCAUAUUAGUGCUAAAGUAGUUGGGAGAAUCUUAAAAGUGAUUAAAUAACGUUAUGUGUGAUAUUUUCGAUUAUAACAUAAAGAGUUGUGGUUCAAUCCCUAUGAUACCAAUAACUUUGUCUUAACUUUAAAAUUUCUAUGCUAGUAGAAAGUUCAAAUCUUCAAGAUACUUUCUAUUAUGCAUAAUAUUAUUAAUAUUACAAACUAGUGGUGGAUUUUUAGAUAGUUUGUAAUAAUUGGCAGUCUCACAUUGGAAAAUAAUUAUUCAAUUGUUCAAAUUAAAACAUAACUCUUUAAAUAAGCAAAAGUGUUUUCAACAAACACAACUAUUGAAACACAAUAGGCACAUCUGCUAAAACACAACAGAUACAACUUUUCAGUAUCCAUAAAAAAAAAAAUGGAAAAACUUUCAAUAUAGACAUCAACCUUCAAAAUUAUUCUGCAAUAGGCUUGUUAUAUCCUGGAGAGUCCUUGUUUGCCUUUAAAAAAAGUGUGUUACAGCACGUCUCAAGCCUUUCUCUUCUUUUCUUAUACUAAUUUUCCAACAAUAUUUCUAUUUCUGUGGUAUUGCUCUGGUUGUUUUUUCUGUUGCUGGACUUGGGGAACACCAAGUCGGAUCCAAAGGCAGACCCACAUUCAUUAGAAUGGUGUCACUUGACACCACUCAAUUAGACAAAAAUAUUUAUUUAUUAUAUUACUUAUUUAGAGUUUUAUAUACUUUAAAAUACUAAUGAACCCAUUAAUUUUUUUAAAAUUUUGUAAGGAGUGGGGUCAAAAAAUAGAUUUUAUUAAAAAUCUACAUAUUAAUAAUACUUAAAUAUUAUCAAAAAGUAUAUUUAUCAAAAUGUAAUUUAUAUAUUAAUAUUUAAAUACUACAUAGAAAGAUAAAAAAAUUUCUUUUCAUAAUUUAAAAUUUUAUCAAAAAAGUCAAAACCUAAACUACUCUUCCUCUCAAAAAUUUCAAGACUUGCUCUUGAGACCCGUAAUGACUUUUUCUCAAUCCUUGGUUGUAAUUUUUAUUCUCUCAAAACAACUCAACUAGGCUUCAAUUGUAAGUAAUUUUCAACCUAAAUUAAGUUUUUAAAUACUUCAUGUCUAAGUAUUUUUGAUUAAUUUGAUAGUUUAGGUUCACAAUUAUAAUCUAACUAAUGAGAAAUAAUAUUGCAUGUCAAAUAAUAUUUUAAAUUAUGAGUUAUGUGGUUUGUGGAUGCUUAUAUUUAAUUUUGAUCAAUGAAUUAAAAAUUAUCAUAUUGUUAGUUGUUGAAUUUGUUAAUGUACUAUGUAAGAUCAUAUUUUAUUUAAUUCUAAUAUUAUUUGAUAUAUUUGAUAGUGUUUCUACUAAAGCUAUAAUACAAUGUUUUCGAAAUAUGAAAAAUUGUCAUAGAUAAUUAUAAUUUUUUUAAAUAUUUUUAUUUUAAAAUAUUAAAUAAAUAUACUGAAUUUAUAUUUUUUAAUUUAAUAUUAACUUUUAGUUUAUAGAUUUUAAUAAAUUUAUUUUUUUAAUUAUGACAUUAGUCAAAAAAAUUCCUGAACCCGUGUCUGGUCGGAUCUCCGACUUAAAAGGAACAGCUCCAGGUUUCUUGAAGGAAUCAUCCACUGCCAUUGUUCUUUCAGACGGAAAAUAACUACCAAAGUAUAUAUAAAGAGUAAAAGCAAGCUGAUAAAACAAACUUUCAUCAUCUAGAGUGAGUCUGUCUAGGUCUUUACAUAUAGUUGGGGUGGCAGCUAGGGAUGAAGGAAAAGCUUAGUCUCGGCGGGAUUAAAGGCAUGAAGGUGGGGCUGGUCCAUGCACGUAUUUGAGUUUUACUUAGGUCCAUUCGAGGCAGGGGCGGAGCUAGCUAAUUUUUAUUGAGAAAGUCAAAGACUAAAAAAAAUAAAAGUUAAAAAUUUUUAAAAUUAAUAUAUUAAACUUAAUUAUUAAUAAUUAAAAGAUUUAAAAUAAACAAUAAUUUUAUAUAACGUGUAAAUAAAAAAAAAACUUAUAAUAGUACUCUAGAAAAGUUUUGUUCGAUGAUGGUAAUAUCUUUUUAAAUAUAAACAACUAAAUUAUUUGUAAAAAACUUAUCAUUCAUUUUAUUUCGAAGUCUUCUCUUUAUCGAUAUAAACGACUUAAAAAUUAAUCUAGUCAACAUCUAAUAUUCUUAUUUUAUUAUAUUUAAGUUUAUAAUACUAAAUAUUAAACUAUAAUGCAUAAAAUAUAAAUAGUUAAAUAUUAUAUACAUAAUUAAUAAUUUUUUUUAUACUCAAAAUAAUUUCUUUUCAACUAAAUAUAAAAUGUAAAGCACAUUAAAAACAUAUACUCGAUAUAAUUUUUUCUUAUAUAAUUAGGAUUAAUAAAAAAUAAUAUAUUAGUGAAAUUUUAAACAACAACCAAUAAUGUAACACUUGAACUUAUAUUUGAGAAUUACAUAUACAAUAAUUAAUUUUUUAAUUUUUAAAAAUUAAAAUUAUUAAAAAUAAAAUCCACAUAAUAGAAAAAAAUCAUGACGAGUAGGAGAUAUAACUUAUAUAACAAAAAAAAAUAUGAUUGAUGAUUUGUAGAAAUUUAAAAUAAAAAAUCUAUAAAAACUUAAAAUAUAUGAGCAAAUAGAAUAUAAUUGAAAAAACUAAAUAAAUAUAAAUAAUAAUAGUAAUAUAAGUAGAAAAAAUUAAAUAAAAACUUUACCUUUUUAUAAUUUUACAAUACAAGAACAGAAAAGAAAAAAAAUAGUUGGAGAAACUUAAAAAAUUAAAAAAAAAUUAAAAAUUUAGUAAAAUUAAAUAGAAUUUGUAAGAUCAUUUUAUUAUUUUUUAAUUAUAUUAAUUAUUUUUAAAAAAUUAUUAAAAAAUAUAUAAUAUAUAAAAAAUUCAAAAUUUUUGGGGGGCCAUUCCAAAGGGACGCUCCGCCCCUGAUUCGAGGCCAAACCAGUCUCCAUCAUAAAAACAGAAGACAGUUGAACGAGGCAGAAGAUUCAAACAUGUGUCAAUGCUUGAGCUAGACUUUUUCAGCAUCCAAUUCGAAAUCACAGGAGGGGUUUUCCUUUGAUUUGGGUUCAGAUGGAGCAUAGAGCUCUGGGUUUUUGAAUUGUCAAACUAUUAGAACGGUAAAAAUUCUAAAACCAGUUUGUUGCAAGGGCUGGUGUUAGAAACAGAGACCAACCUGAUGACUGCCUAGCCAGGCCAGCUAAGUGCGAAUGUGCAAUGGAGAUUUGAAAUUUUGGGCUCCAGCUCCACCCAGACAUUAUCAUAAGAGAUGCACUACUGAUGUUGUGCUCCAUUCGAAUAUAUUUGUCAUGAUAUCCCUCACGCAAACGAAAAGUAACUUCGAUGGUUCAAAUGGAAAAGUCUUAUUACUCUCAGUUUUACCAUUAUGAUAGCAACAAAAGUAAUUUGGUCCCCAUUCAUCAUCUUUUCAUUGUACUAAAUAAGCAUUGCUGUUGUGAAUAAUACUAUGAGACAGGAUGCAAAUUGGAGUGUCAAGAACACAUUGAAUCAGCCUACGCAACUUUAGCAUUAGAUUAGAGAUCAAUUAAAGAGAUCAAACUUAACAUACAAGAUCCAUGUAAGACUAAGUAACAUGAGACUCAAAAGAUGGGCCCAUCUUUGAUAAAUAGCAGGCAUAACACAAUAGUUUGAAAAGCCGUUUCGUUGCAAUAUAUUACAAUCCAAAAAGUUGAACCUUUACUUGUCUUCAAAGGCCCCUGCAUCCCAAUCUACGCUGUCCCCUAACUUUCAAAACAGAAUUCUUGUCGCAUGUUACACAAAGCUCGCAUUGUGUUGCUGGCCACAUCCAGCAGCUGCAAGUACUCAUCUGCACCAUCCCCUAGACGCUUAUCUGCCUCAGCCAAACUCUUGCAAAUUUUAGCUUUUUGUUCAUCUGGUAUAUCAUCUGCCUCAACAACCACAUCAAAUAACUGAGAAAGCAUCUGAGAAACCGGAAACCCUUCUGCAAUUCCAUUAUUGACGUCCUUGUUUGCCAAAUCAAAGUUGCCGCUUUUGCAUGCAGCAUAAAAUGCCUCAACAACUUCUUGAGGGGUAAUCCCAGAUACACUAAGUAGGGCCUUUGAAGAAAUUGUUGAUCCAAAUAAGCGAGCAGCUCCCUGCAAGUAUGUAUUAAACCUCAGUAGUUCUUAUAUCCUUUUUGCCUCUUACACCAUUUUUUUAUUUUUAUACUAACAAUUAAGAAAACAAAAUUUUGAAUUACAUAUCAUUAUUCACAAUUUAUCAUAUUGGAAAAGAAAUAUGCAGACACAACACACAGACAGAGAAAAACCUUAAAAAUAACAAUCAAACUGCAGCAAAGACUUUCAAUGAAAAAAUCUCCACGGAUGGGAUGUAAUGAACACACUAUUAAACAAACAAGAAGGCCCUUGAUUCUAUUUUCCCUGUAAUGGAACUUGCAUUAAUUCAAGUUAAAAAAGGUACACCUAAACACAUAGCAGGGCCAUGCCCUCAUCCCAGAUUCAUUCUGUUUGACAUAAAACUAAAAUGAGUUCGGGGUACUUACAAGUACAAAUCAAAUUUCUCCUCUGUAACCACCAGAACCAAAAUAAUCCCUUCUAGAACUUGCAAUCGCCAUGCUUUUCUGAUGCUCUAACUUGGGGCAAUCCCGGAUACGAUGGCCCAACCCACCACAAUAAGCACAACCCUUUACACCACUUGCGUUGGUGAUUGCAUCCACAUCCUCCAUUGGAUCAUUCAGCUCAGCCAAGACGGGUGGAAUCCUCUGUUUGGCUUCUUGCAAAAGGUGCUUCAAAUCAAGCAGGGUUGUCUCACUCUGGUUCUUAUUUAUGAAUGUGGUUGCAAUUCCCGUUUUACCACAUCUUCCUGUUCGUCCUAUUCUAUGGACAUAGUUUUCAAUUUCAGCAGGCAUAUCAUAAUUGAUCACAUGUUGAAUAUCAGGAAAAUCCAAACCCUUUGAUGCAACAUCAGUUGCGACUAAGACAUCCUUCUUGCCAGCUUUAAAGGAUGAAAUGGCAUACUCUCUCUCUUCUUGGUCCUUGCCUCCAUGAAUGGCCACAGCUUCAACUCCUUUCAAGAGGAGAUAUUCAUGAAUAUCAUCCACAUCAGCCUUAUUCUCACAAAAUAUUAAAACAGGCGGAGGGGUUUUUUGUAGGCAUUCAAGGAGGUAGACUAUCUUUGCCUCUUGCUUCACAUACUCGACCUCCUGAAUCACAUCGAGAUUUGCAGCUCCUGCUCUUCCAACAUUAACAGUAACUGGUUUUACUAAAGCACUUCUGGCGAAGUUCUGAAUUUUGGUAGGCAUAGUUGCAGAGAACAAAAGGGUUUGCCGUUGGGCUUUAAAGUGGUCAAACACUUCCCUGAUGUCAUCUUCAAAGCCUAAAUCUACUAGUCUAUCUGCUUCAUCCAAUGUCAAGUACCUAUAGAAGAAAAACCAAUUGCUUAAGUAUCAUUAUCUAUCCAGAGCAAAAACUUUUUGAUCUAAAUGGCAUACAUAUAAUCUAUAUAUUUUGGGCGUAAAAAGGCCAGCUGUAACAGAUUCAACACAGUUGAUAUCUUUAAAAUUAAGUGCAAGGAUAAAAAACAAUGCGGAAGCAACUAACAUUCCAUGAUAGCAGACGUAUAAAGAGAUAUCUAAAAAAAAUGAGCAGCAACAGAAAAAAAAGUACAAAAUCUUUUCCCAAAAAGAGAACUGCCAAAAUGUUAACAGGCAAACCAAAAGUAAGCUAGCUGUGACAAAUACAACACCAUACAAUAUCUUUCAAAACAAAUGCAAGAAAAAUUGCAAAACAUAGCAGAAGUAAAGAGCGCUACAUAUUUCACCAUAAAUAUACAAAGCACUACAUAUCGGCAAAAGUACUUAAGAGAUAUUAAAACAAGUGACAAAUGAGUUAACAGGCAAAACAAAACGAACUUGCUCCCCCAGCCCCCACCAAGCCUCUAUAAUAUUUUAGCAUCUCUGUUCCUGUCAAUGCAUACAGCAGUAGCUUAAGUUGCCACAAACAACUAAAUUCAAAUAUAUACUGCACAGAUAGUCAUGAGACCAAAUGUAGCAGGUUAGUUAAUUCACAAUGCUGUUAUUAGAAGCGCUGAAUUAAUAAUCAUUACCUGCAAUUGUCUAAAUUCAUCUUCUUCUUGGCAAGCAUAUCCUUCAGCCUCCCAGGAGUAGCAACAACAAUGUGAACCCCUUUCUUCACAACAUCCAACUGGGACCUCAUAUCCACACCACCAAUACAAAGCAAUGGUCUGAGCUCUGGAUACCCAUUUUCCCUCAUAGGUACCAAAAACUGCUCCACCACUUCAUAUGUCUGCCUAGCAAGCUCCCUUGAAGGACAGACAAUCAACCCAAAAGGGCCUUCUCCUGGAAGUAUCGGCAUCAUCAUCUCCUCCUGCAAUGCAAUCAUAAUCAGUGGAAGCACGAACACAAGCGUUUUUCCCGACCCUGUAAACGCAAUCCCAAUCAUAUCUCUUCCUGACAAAAUCACAGGCAGCCCUUGAACUUGAAUAGGAGUCGGCUGCACAAUCCCCUUUGCCUUCAACUUCUUCAAAAUGGGAUCCGGAAACUUCAUGUCCUUAAAAUUCUUAAUAGGAGGUGGAAUAUCUUCCCCGUCAACAAUAAUAUGCCAUUGUUUCCAAAUCAAAUCUCUCUCUUUUUUCAACAUCCUUCGAAUAUGCAAAGGUGGUUUCCAUCCAGUCAACAAAGGCUCCGUAUAAGUAAUCCCUUUUGCCAAUUCCCGGACUGACAUCAGGGUCUUUCGAUCCGAUAAAUGUUCAAUCAUCUCUUUCUCCUGUUGUACAAUUUGUUCCAUUUGACUUAUUUCAGGUUGGUCCUUCUUGAGCUGGGUUGCUUUUACAAGCAAACUAGGUUUCACUUCAGCAAGAUUGGAUUUUUCAUUCUCAUCUUCAAGUGCAGAUGACUUGCCCUUUCUUUGUAGGAUUUUUUGAGCUUCCAUGGCUCGGCGUUUUGCAACCGGAAUAUACUCAACGUAAUCAUCAUCUUCCUCCAUUUUUUAAUUUUCUGCAUUACCCAAAAAAAGCCCUAAAUUAUGAUGUUGAGAUUAAGGCUGAAAAAUGUUUAAUUAAAAAAAAAUUGCUGAAGUAACAAGCAUAAAACCCUCAUAUUUUUCUGUGCACUCUAUACUGAAACAUAAUAAUCAGCUGCAAUAUUUCACAAAAGCAAAAUAAUUGCUGCGACAAAUGAGAUGGAAAGUGCAUAAAAAAACAGAAAACAGAAAAGCCCUAAUGACCAUUCAGGUAAAAUGCCAUGAUAAGCAAAAUGAACCGAAACAUCUACCAAAAUGAAUUAGACUAAAAUCGACAGCUGAAAACAAAAGUAAAUUAUAUAAUUUCAAAAAAUAAGACCUUUCUGGGUUUGCUACUUACCCUGCUAAUUUGCUUAAACGAAUAACAGACUCUGACACCGGCGGAUAGGAGACUGGAUGUGGAACAAAGACAAGGCACAAGGCAGUGGAGGCGGACGGGCAGUGGAGGAAGACGGCUGCAGGACGGCAGCUUGGAGAUCGGAUUUGCUUUAAGAGAGCGGAGUGAGCGGAUGUGAGGAACAGAGAGAAAGAGAGACGAGGAAAAUAAGAAAUUUUAUAUGUUGCUAACACCUACACAAAAACCUAAAACCAACACCCGCUCUGGCUUUGAUUGAAUUCAGUCUUACUCCAUUUUCCUUUCCCACGCAACAAGAAAGAAAACAUCAACAGAUGCGGCAAACCCCAGCUAAACAUAAUCCAAUAAUGUGAAGCUAGGAUCUAUCUAAUCCCUUCAAAAUCACCAAUCAUCACCACUCAUUAAAACAAAAUGAAACACCUUUUGGAAGAACAAAAACACCCAGAUCAAAAAUAACACAUUCAAUACAAAAUAAAUCUAUUCCAGAUUCAAUUUAGCAAAGAUUAUUUAUUUUUCAGAUCACUUAUUCCAGAAGAAAGAAACAUGAAUGCGUAAAGAAUACAAACAAAACUAAAAUUAAAUGAGAAUUAUUGAAUUAAAAUUACCUGAUUGAAUAGAUUAUUAGAGAGAGAAAGGAAAAUAUGUUUUUCUAUUUGGAGACACAGAGGUGGGUGGUACGGAUAGGAUAGAUUUAGAGGUAUUUAUAACGUUUUUAGAGUGAAGGAGACAACCGUGGCUAGGCUUUUUUAGAAAGAGAGGAAACAGGCGGCAGGAGGAAGGGGAAGAGAAGAAAAGAGGAAAGGGAAAGAAAGAGGAAGCCGCUACCAGAAAGGCCUAGACCGGACAAGGCGACGGCGACCGAGUAAGGGAGAUAGGGUUUGGAGAAAGGGGUUGGCUGCCGCUGGUUGGGGUCAGUGGGAAAAGAAAAAGAGAGCAAAAAUGAAGAAAAGAGACAGGGUUGACUGCUUGGGUUAGGUUAAAAGUUUAUAGGACAAUCAAAACCACGUCGUUUUAUGGAUACAAGAAGAAGAAAAAGAAGAGGUGUGUCGGAUUCACCCGAGUUCAACCCGGUUCAAGUUUAGGCACAGUGCAUUUUAUUUAUUUAUGAAUUUUUUAUGCAUGAAUUAAAUUUUUGAAAUUACUUUAAGAAAGAGAUAAGAAUAAAAAGUCAAACAAUUUUUUUGAUAAAUAAUAAAAUAUGAAAUAAUUAAUUGAAUAAAAUUAAUAAUGACUUGCCAAAAUUAUUGCGAGAUUCCAAAAUUAUAUUCACAAGGUUGAUUAAUUCUGAAUAAUUAUAAACGCAUAAGAUAAAAAAAGUAGUAAUUAAAAUUGAAGAUAAUUUACAAAAUUUCAUCUUUAAAAUUAAAAAAAAUUAAUAUUCCAUAAUUAAUAUUCAUUUUAUUUUGAUUUUAAAAAAAAAUUCAUUUUAUUUUAAUAAUUUUAUUAUCUAAUAAUUAUGUAACUUAUCAAUAAUUACUUUCAAUAUAUUACAUUUUCUCAAUUUUAAUUUUAUUUCUAUAUUAGAAUAGUCGUAAUUAACAAAAUAUGAUUAUAUUAAUAUUUGCAUAUAUUAAAAUAUAAAAAAUCAAGUGUUUUCAAAAAUUAAAAAAUAUUUAAAUAACAAAUAUUGCUUAAUAAGACAUGGGACAAUAUUUUAAAAAUAGUGAUAUUUUUAAAUAAUUAUAUAUAAUUUAUUAUUACUACUACUAUUAUCUAUAAUAUUUUCAAAAUUAAAAUUGUUUCUUUUUUAUUAUUUUUAUUUUAUUUAUAAUAUUAUGUAAUUUUAAAUUAUUUUUUAUAAAAAAACGACUCGUACACAAAGCAAGGCACCACUCUAAUUAAUUAAAGAUGUUUUUAUCUAAAAAAAAUUUUGAUCUAUUCAAAACGUAUAAUACUAGGAAUUACUAUUCUCCCUUUAAAAAAACCUAUAAAGUCCGACCUUAUAAAAUACUAUUCAUGACAUACAUGUGAUGAUAGCAUGAUUGCAUGCUAGGAGAGUCUCGAAAAAUUUACAAAAGUCGGUAUUGUACCUAGAGGUACAACAAAGUUUAUUUAAUCCUCGAACUAGAUCAAAUAGGAAUUUUAAGGUGAGAUUAAGAGUUUCACAGUUCAUGGAUGACUUAAAAUGGUAAUUUGGAGUUUGAGGAUCAAUUUGGAGUCAAAUCGGAAUUUUCACUAACUAGGGGCAAAAUGGUCAUUUGCCACCUGGGGACAAAAUGAGAAUUUUAGAAAAGAUUUUUUUGACCCCAUUUGACUUAUUAGAGUAUAAUUUGACUUAUUGAAGUAUGAUUUGAGGUUUAGAAGUGAAAAAUUUUAAUUUCGGUAUAAUUUGGAGUAAAAGGGUAAAAUGGUAAUUUUGCCACCUCAGGGGCAAAAUUGUAAUUUUCCACCACCAGGAUAUUUUUUCCAGCACAUGGUCUUCCUUUGUCUUCAUCUUUGACCCUUGACUAAACAUGUGGUGGAGAUAAAAUGUUUAAAUUUUUAAAAUUUUAAAAACGGGCCAAUGACAUGAUGCCAUGUGUCAUGCCUUUAUUAAUUUAUUAUUUUCCUUUUUAAAAGGCACAAAAUCAGCCCAUCUUCCACCCCAUGGCCGGCCAAACCAGCAAGAAGAGAGAGAAAACAAAAACAAAACCCUAGAGAGAGAAAAUCAAAGAAAAAGUGUGAAUUUUCAAGGAAAUUAAGUGAAAAAGGUGAGUUUUUUCUAUUAAGCUUGAGUUUUCUUAUUCCCAAGCAUUUCUCUUUAUUUUCCAUGAUUAAAUUACAUGUUUUCAUGAUGAAUUCAAUUCUGAAAAAAUGGGUUAGGAGAGAGAAAGUUGUUGGAUUUAUUUGAUUUUAAUUUAUGUUAGUGUUUUUAGUUAGUUUAGCAUAUUUAGAAACAAAACAACAAGAAAAGAAUUUAUUUUCUCCCCCAACCAUUAAUGGCUGAAUUUACCAUGUAGUGAGUGAGGAUGAGUUUGAUUUUAUUCUAGGAGAAUUGGUUAAGGAAUAAUGAAUUAUGAGCCUAGAAAAAUAAUGGGAAUUUUCGGAGCAAAAAUACGAAUUUUUACCCACUAGGGGUAUUUUCGUAAUUUGCUGUUGGGACUGAUAAUUUGCACCACACUGAGGGACAUUAAGUUAAUUUGGGUGCAAUUGAGGUAUAGAAACUGAAAAGAAUUAAAUUGGAGUUUAAACGGACCCGUUAGGAAUUUAAUCGGGUGAUAAGACGAAUUAGGCCAAUACCGGGUUUAGAUAGUUACCAGUGCAUUUUUGCAUUCCAUAUCAUGCAUUGGUAGUCUAAAUUAGUUUAAUUUUGAUUUAGUACCAACUUGGUGAAACUCUCGAUUUUGUACUGUGUCAAGGUGGUGAGUCCUCCGAUAAAGGCAAGGAAAUUGCAUCCGAGGACCAGUAGACAGAGUGCUUCGAAAGUCUGCAUUCUAGACAUUGUGAGUAAACUUACUGUCAUUUUAAUUAUCUAGGGUGGUUUUUAGAUGCUUUCAUGAAUUCUAUGGAAAAAGGAAUUUAAAAAGAUAAAUUUUCAUGUUUUAUGAAUAAAUGAGUUUCAAUGAAAUUAAAUUAUAAAUUGUUUUGAAAUUAAUAGUGAUUUUGAAAAAUAGAGUACACGGAGACUGUUAAUUGUGGCAAUUUGAUUGUUUAAAUUAACUGGCUUAUGAUAAAUCGAGCAUGAUUGGCUAGUUGGCAAUUGUAUUGAAAUGCGAAUUGUUUGGUUACCUUGAAAAACUACGAAUUACAAAAUUGCCAUAUCAUGUUAUUGAGUUUUAUUAUAUGGUGGAUUAUAUAUUAAUUAAUCACUGCAGUAGGGGGUUUCUGUGGACCAGCCUUUUAGAGGGGCACGGUAAACCCCAUUAUAUUCUUACCUCGAACGGAGAGGCGCGUAGGGUAUCUCCUGGGGUAAAGUUUAGGGUUCACUUCACGCUAAACCACCACGUGAGGGGGAACUCAGCCAACGCCAAGGAACGGCUAUGUUUUCAAAACAAAAACAUGAUUUAUGUGAAAUGUGAAUUUUAAUAGCCUUGGCGGUCUCGGUAGGAUGCCUCGGCCAAGGUGUCCCCGAGAAUGGAUUUAUGGCACAAGCCUAGAUUUUUAUGAGAUUCAUAAGCCUCUUUACGUGUUUUGAACAAAAUGUGUUCUAAUGCUAUAACCCAGUUUAUGAUGAUUUACUUUAUUGUCUCCAUGUACUCAACUCUAGAUGUUUAUGAUGAUGUUUGUUUACUCAUUGGGAUUUUAUAAUCUCACCACCCUCCUUUCCACCCAUUUCAGGUUCAGUAUAGACUGUAGAUAGCUGAUCUCAUCGAGGACUACAGUGGGAUCUGCAUUUUCCAAACCGUAGGUUCACAGUCCUCUUUACUUUUGUUUAUUCGGGGGCCCUCUUGUUAUUGUAAAUUAAAUUAAAUAUUUUGGCUUACUGUAUUUAAGUAUGUAUAAAUUUAUUUAGCUUUUACGCUAUAAAAAUUAUUCACGUAUAACUCUAUAAAUAUUGUUUUAUAAGAAAAUAGAAUAUUUUACUUAAUAUUUCUUUUGUUUUCUUAUUAUAUUCAAAUAACCAUAAUUUCGUUUUAAAUGAAGAUUUUAGACUUUUAAACUCAUUUUGAAUAUGAAUUAUGUGUUUUGUAAUUGUAUAUUACGUUUUAGCCAGUUUCGACAUUUUUGAGAAAAAUGACUAAAAUACCCCUAUGAGAUAAAAAAUUAAUAUUUUAUUUGUUUAAAGUUUGAAACAGCUUAAAAUCUUUUAGAACACGAUAUUUGACAAUGGUUGCUCACAAGGGAACAGAAAAACUGAUAGUAAAGCCUUGCGGGAUUUCGGGUUGACAUUCCGGGCAAUGAGUGUCUCCCGGGACAUCGCGACGGUUGUCACGGGCUCGAGGGGAGUACCGGGUCGUGACAAAACCAAACACUAAAAUUCCCUUUAUGGUUUCAUUUCCUAGGAAUCAAACAUGGUCUUUACAUAGUUAUACAAUAUUAAAAUUAAAUUAGCUAAAUGCUUAAAUUGGAGUUAAACAUUUGGAUACUUUUUCAAUUAAAGGUCAAAUAUUUUCAAUUUUUUACAAUUAAGGGCUAAGUUGACAAGUGAAUGGAGGUUGUAUCACACAUGAUAAAAAAUCAUAUUGAAAAUAUAAUUAUUAUACGUCAUGUUAAAAUUUAGUUAUUAUAUAUCAUAUUGAAAAUUUAAUUGUUACACGCCAUAUUGAAAAAUGUUAUUGUUAUACGUCAUAUUAAAGAUUUAGUUGUUACAUGCUAUGUUAAAAAUUGUAGUUGUUACACAUAAUGUUGAAGAUUUAGUUGUUACACAUCAUGUUGAAAAAUGUAAUUAUUACACAUCAUGUUAAAGGUUUAAUUGUUAUAUACCAUGUUGAAAAAUUUAAUUAUUAUACGUCAUGAUGAAGAAGUUGUUACACAUCACGUCAUAAUUUGAACUGUUUUAACUUGAUAAAAAAGAUUUUUUGACAAAACUAUCUUUCAGUAUUUUACCAUUUCAAGUUAACAUUUACAUCAUGCGCAUAUCUUUCGUGCACUAAACACCUUUCACCUUAGUCGUUAAUUGUAAAAAAUCGAAAACAUUUAGUUCUUCAUUGUUACAAUUGAAACGUUUGAUCUUAAAUCGACAAAAACCUAACAAUUUUGACCAUAAAUUGAACAUUUAGUCAAUAAAGUCGAUUUGGUCACGAAUUGAAAAGAAUAAAAAAAAUUCGAGAAAGAGAAAUGGGUUCUGGGUUGAAGCCCAAUCCAAAUUUCCACCUUUAACCCAGUUCAUUUGGUCAAGCUCAAAAAAUCAAAACACAAUUAAAAAGUGGAAUAUUUUUGCUUCAUUAUUUAUUUUCACAUUAUGUUUUAAAAUUAAAUUAAUAAAAUUGUUUAAUUUAUUCAAUAAAAAAUAAAAUGAUUAUUUAAAAAAAUUUAAAAAUGAAUUUUUAAAAAAAUCAUAAGUAAUAAUUUUUCGAGCAAUUUCUUAAGUGAACAAAAUCUUGAAUUUGCACCAAACGAGCUGUGAUGCUCUACAAUUAUUCCCAUAAUGUGACCUAAGUCUAAAUUUAAAAUAAAUGAGAAUAAAAGAAUAUUAAAUUUUUUUAAUAACUUACCAAUGUGAAUCAUUAUAGGUAUUUGUUUGUAUCACAUUGAAAAUAGGAAGGAGAGAAUUGAUUUUGACCCAAUGAAGACCAAUCAUUGUUGGAAAGGAGGGAUGGACUUCGUUAGUGCUUUGCCAAUGAUGGGGCCGGAUUCGACCCCUUGGCUAGUAAGAGGAAGAAAGAAAAAAGAAAAGGAUAAGAGAAAACUGUGAGGAAAAUGGGCUUGGGAUUUUUUUUGGAAAAUACAAUUUUAGUCUUUGGGUGUAAAAAAAGAUAUUUUGCGCCUUUUUCUUUGAUUUUUUUUUGUCAAAAUACUUUAUAUAAGAGUAUUUUUUUCAAUUUAAUCCCUUUACUUAAAAUUGUAAUAUUUUAGUCUCUUCAUUUUAUGAAUUGCUUCAAUUAAAUCUCUUUCACAUUUUUCGUUUAAAUUAACCAUUAUGAUAAUGACAUCAACGUUGAUAUAGUGUUGAGUUAGCACCAGAUGCUGACGUGGCAAUAACACAUCAGUGUGUCAGGGUGACUUGGCAUUGCCAUGCCAUAAAUUGGAUCUGAGUUGCACGUGGCACACCAAAAGGCUACCACAUGGCACAUCAAUAUGUUGACACGUGGCGCAUUAAGAGGCUGACACAUGGCAUUUUAAUUCUUGAAAACAAGACGUGUGAAAGGUUGCCAUGUCAGUGUUGACAUCAGAUUUGUAAUGGUUAAUGUAAACGAAAAAUGUGAGAGAGACUAAAUUAAAAUAAUUUUCAAAAUGAUAGGACUAAAAUAUUACGAUUUUAAAUAGAGGGAUUAAAUUGAAAAAAAAUACCCUAAUACAGGAACUUUUCAGAUAUUUUGAUCAUUUUUUUCCUAUAAAAGCUUUCUUUUCCUAAAAAAGUUAUAAUUCAAAAUAAUAGAGGAAAAACGUUAUCAAGUAUACAUGCUUAAUUCCUUACAAAGAUAAGUGUCUUGGUUGAAAAAAAUUUCCUAAAAAAAAGGUAUAUGCCUUUCUUUUUGGUAAUCUUUUUUCUUCUAAAUAUUUACAAAAAAGUUAUGUCUAAUAAUGUUAAAAAGUUUAAUAAAAAAUAAUCACGAAUACAUUAUCAGUUUAUCAUUUAUAUUUUUAAAUUGAUUAAAAUAGGUGUAGAUCUUUGGUAAGAGAGAGAGGAAAUAAAAAAAUAUAAUUCUUUUUCAUUUUUUUAAUUUUUUCUUAAUUUUUUCCUUUUUUUUUAGAUACUUAUGAAAUAUUAUAAUACCGACUGUUCUCCUUAGGCUAGAAAAAACCAAUUAAAAUAAGAUACCACAAGCAAUUCCCACAAAUGCCAAAAUGGAAAUUCCGAUGACAACGUCAUUUGUUAUAGUGUGUCCUCGUAAUAUAAUAGCAUGAGAAGAAAAAUUUAAAAGUAAUUAUUUGGAAUAAUCAUAUUUAACAAGAUCUAAUUAUCAAUCACACUUAAUUAAAAUUGAACGAGAACACUAUAAAAUUUUUUAAUAGCUUUAUGUUCCACAAAUUUCAUGUUGAAAAUGAGAUAAGAAAAUUCAAAUAUAGAUAAAACAUAUUAUUAAUCAGAUGUAAAAAUACAAUCUCUAGAAAUUCUUUAAAAUAAAAAAUAAUAAUCUUUUGGUUCUUUUCUCCAACAAAAAUCCCCUUCUAGAACCUUGAUGGCUUGAUCUUGAACAAACAAAAUUGAUUUUCUUCCUUUUGCUAGAAUAAGUUUCAAGAGCAAUUUUGAUACAUGAUUUGUGUUUGAAAAAUUCUUCAAUUAACUAAUUAAAAUAAAUUUUAAAAGACAUAUGAUAUCUUGUAAUCCGAUAAAAAUUUCUUGUUCUACGAAUGCCCCUUCAAAACUUGUUCUUGCUUGAUUUUGCUUGUAACAAGUGAGCAAGUCUAGAAAUUCAAUUUAUUUACUUACACUUUUCAUUUGGAAUGAACUUUUAAUGGACAAAAAAAAAUUCUUUUCCUAGGAUAUUUUAAAAUCCUAGUGUGCCUUGGUUUAAUCUUGGUAGAUUUGAAAUUUAAUUUUAAUUUAAAUAAUCCUUCUAGGCAAUGGAAUUAUAGUUUUGACAAUGUUGUCUUGCAAUUGGCAAUGCACUCCUUAAUUAAUUAGGAGAAAGACUUUUGCUUUAUAAAAAUAGAGUUAUUUUGCCAAUUUUCUUCACAUCAAAAUCUCAAGAAUGUCAUUAAGAAUUCUUUUGUUGUUUAUGCAUCUUUUAUACACUUAUGACUAAAAAACAAGGGUGUCAUUAAGAAUUCUUUGAAAGUUGGUCUACAACCACGUACACCCUCCACAUGGCCUCUAGAGAAGCUUCCAUCUCAUAAUGAGAUUUACAUAAAUUGGAUGGCCUACCUAUUCAUGAUUAGUGUUAUGAUGAGUUAUCUCAUCUGCUACAAAAUUAACUAGUGCUAAUAGUGAAGGGAGAUUCCUUCCAAAAAAUUGUUUGUAUUUAUUUCCCAUCUUUAAUUAUUUAAAUGAAAGAAAAAAUAUUUAUGAGGCUCUAUUGUAGUGAAUUCUACCAAAAAAGAAUAAUGCAAGCAUAUGAUAAGAAAGUUCACUCUUGAUGCUUUCAAGAAGAAGAGCUAGUUUUGAAGAUGAUUCCCCCUAAUCAACAUGAUUGUCAAAGAAAAUGGACGACAAUUAGGAAGGUCCAUUUGUGAUGAAGAAACGAUUUCUGGGUGAAGCAUUAAUUUUGAUAGAAAUGGAUGAAAAUGAUUUGCCAAAUCAAUAAAUGUCAAUACAAUCAAGAAGUAGUAUGCUUAAAGUAAAAAAACACCAAAAAAGAAAAUGAAAGAAAAGAGGAGAGGUUCAAGUUGAAACCUCUAAAGGGCAAUUUGAACCCAAAAAAAGGUACCUAAGUUGAAACCUUAAAAGAGCACUUAAGUAUGUAGUGUUAGAUGUCGAUCUUAGCAUAUGCUUGUGAUUGUGUAAUUGUGUAACUUAUGGAUUUCAAAAAAAUUUUAGCUAUGGAAAUAAUUUAUCCAAUUUACACAUGCAAAAAAUCACAAUCAUACAUCAUGUGAAUCAAAUAAUAAUCGCAUUGAUAUUAAAGAAUCAAAAGUAAGAAAUGUUACCUACUCCGUGCUAGAAAUAUAUUUCAUUCUUCUUUUCUGUGAAUUGUAAAAAUUCACCACCACACCAAUUAUUAGAAAUUUUGACCAAUUUAAAUUACUAGUUAUUCUUCAAGAAUCUUUCAAUCUUGAAUCUAGAGUGGACUGGGUGUAGAAUACUUUUCAAGAUGGUAACUAAAUUAUUUUCUCUCAAUUUCUUCUAUAGCAAAUUUUCUUUAUGUAAGGCUUGUAGAAAAUUGCUAAUGGGAGCAAAAAGUAAAAAUAGAGAGAGAUGGAGGAGUACGACUAUCACAAAAGUGUGACUAGGGUUUUGGCCAAAAUCACAUAUUUAUAAUAUGCUUUUCGGUCCCAUUAAAAAAUAAAGAGAUAUUUCUCUUUUAAAACUCUUUUUAAUUUAAUUAAUUAAAAUUAAUUGAUAUUUAGCAUCUAUAAUUUAAUUAAAUAAUAAACUAUUUAUUUAUAAUUAUUAGUCCAUGUCAAAAUAGGAUUAUUCAAUUUUAUUAUUAUCGAUCUUUAAUUGGAAAAAUUAAUAAUAUAAAUUAUUGUGGCAGCCUUGGUGUUAAGAGGUUAGAGAGACAUCGAAUGGUGCUUGAGAAAUUUGAAUAACCACAAAGGUAAGAACAUGGAAUGCAAUUUCUACUAUGAUGUCUUAAAUACGGUUAAGAGAAAUAAUUAUGUUAGUUGGAAAUUUUGAAGCUUAUUGUGAAUACAUUGUUGCAAAAGAUCUAAGAGAUUUAAAAUUAGAUAAGGAAUUCUAGAAUCUAGAUUGAUAUUGGUGUAUAUGAAUGGGAGUUUGAUACUUCUUUAGUGGCAGCACAUUAAAUAUGGAAAACGGUGCAUACAAGUUUAAGAAAUUAUUUGUAUAAUGGGAUUUUAAGUUGUUGCCCAUAUAUGUGAGUGAUUAACUGUAAAGAAAUAAUAACUAGAGUAUGAUGUCUAUUACUAGGAAAGAUUGAAAUGAACAUUUGAGGUUAUGUACAAAUUGCUAGACACAUACAACCCGAAUAUGACACUAAGGAUUCAGUAAAAAUAAUUAAUUCUUGAAGACAGAAUAUUAAAGUUAUGAAUUUAUUGACUAGCAGCAUGUGUAAAGUAGAAUGGCAUGGAAGUUUAUUAAAUGCUUUAGAUAUAAUUGAUGCUAGGGAGUUUGACAAAGCAAUGGCUUGUUGCUGUGAACCGAAGUUAAUGUUGCUGCGAGCAAAAGCUAACGGGAAUAAAGGACAUAUAGAAAAUAAUAUUUAUAGGCUAAGCAUAUAAAGAAGUUAAUAUUGGUGAGAAAUUCCACCAAAAGAGGUGAGUGGGGGUACUUAUAUCAAAAUAUUCCCUAUUAUAUAUAAAGAUAUAUAUAUAUAUAUAUAUAUAUAUAUAUAUAUAUAUAUAUAUAUCUACAUGUGAAUGAUUUAUGCAAUGUCAUUGUAGAAAGCAUGAGCUAGUAGGAAAUUAUAGGUGAAUUGUGGUUGAAAUUGUUUUUAAUUUGUUUUGAAUAUACAUAUUAUAUAUACAUAUAUAAAUAGAGUGUUUUGGAAAAUCGAAAACAAGCCUUUCACAAUGAUUUGCUUCAAAUUAUGCCUUGCAUAGUUGUGCGACUUGCAUAAUUACUUGCAUGCUGUAAAUGGUCAGAUUACAUGAUUAUCAUGAUUUGAUUUAAGUCUAAACUUUUAUACAUGCUAUUUUACACCAUGCAUUACAUGUGGAACAAAAUUUAUAAUUGGUGCCACAUAGACCUGACAAUUCGUGUUAACAUGUUGUAAACGUGUUAGACACGAUUAGACAUGAAAUACAUUAAAGUUAAACACGAAUAUGACACGUUUAAUAUUCGUGUCUUAAAUUUACAACACGUACACGUAUAUGUUUAAUACACGUAUAACACGACACGACAAGAUUAACACGUUUAUUAAACGUUUCAAUAUACGACACGAUAUGAUUAAUAACACGUUUAAUAUGAUUAAAUAAAAAUAUUUACAAUUAAAUAUAAUUUUAUUAUUUAAAUUUAAAAUCUAUAAUUAUAAAAAUAAUUAUAACAAAACAAAAUUAAUAAUAACAUUAAACAAUCACCAAAAGUUAAAAAUUAGGGUUGAGCAUGUAUAAUUACAUUAUACCUUUUAUAAAAUUUAAAAAAAUUUAUUAAAAUAAUUAUUUAAAAUUAUUUAUAUAAGGUUAAAAUAGUUUUUAACUAUUAAUUUUUAAUAAAUUAAUAAAUGUGUUACGUAUACACGUUUAAACACGAUAACACGAUUAAACACGAUUAAAUAAACGUGUUUAAAUGUGCUUUAAACGUGUUUGUCAUGUCUGAUACGUUAAAAUACGAAAAUUUUCAUGUCUUAACGUGUUAGACACGAUUAGAUACGAAACAUGUUAAGACUAAAUCCAAAACCUGUUUAACUCGUAUAUUUUCAUAUCGUGUUAACGUGUUGUGUUCAAAAUUGUUAAGUUUAAUGUCACAUCUUUCUUUUAAAAAGGUUGAUGAAUUGAAUACUUCAAAAACCUUGUACUGUUUUGGAAGUUGUAAUUUUGUUAAAUCGUAAUGAUCGAGAGUAAGUACUGUUGUCACAUCAACUUUUGUAUGAUCCUUGUGUAUAAGUGAGCUCUAAUUAAAGAUUAUUUUGAAAAAACCGACAAGCAUGUAUAUAUGUGGCAAGGCCAUGGAUCGUUUAUUUGUGGAUAGGACCACAAGUUAUGACCAUGCUGCUCUUUUAUUGGCCACCUUGAUAGAUAGUGUACUACUGGCAAGGGAAGUAGGGGGAGAAGGCCCGAAAUAUUAUUACGUUGGAAAAGACCCAUGGUAAUGACCCACUCGAAAGCAGCACUUAUCUUUAAUUUACGAUUUUAUUUUCUUGCAUGGUGCAAUAUGUUUUAUUUUUCGUAGCUCCCUUUUAUGAAAAAGGUUUUGUGCACGGUUGAGCACAAGUGCACUAUCAUGUGGAUGCAUUCGGAAUAGUUUUACAUGCCACACUUAACGGGAGCGAGCACAUACAUGAUCUGCCUUAUUGUAAAUACAAAAUGCACCUAAUGUUUCCUUUGGUUGGAAUCUAUUUUAUUAAAUCAUGCAUUAACUUAGAUGUCAACUUAAAUUUCAAACUAGCCUUCGUAAAAUCUUAACUUAAACGUUAAUAACAUAAAAUAAACUUAGCAGUUCUCGUAAAUGAAGACAACUUAAUCUAAAAUUUAAAUUAAAAGAAUCUAACAUUGAUAAAUAAUAUAAAUUGUAAAAGUAUAAAAUAUGUGGCAUAAAAUACGUAAGGAGUGUCAUAACCAUACACAAACUAGAAUGCUUGCGCGUUGCGCUAGGAAAUUGUUAUUUUGUGGGUAUUGUUUGAAACAUUAUAUAAAAGUUUAUCAUCAUCUUAAAUAGAAGUUUAACUAUUUAUUUGAUGUUAUUAAAAUAAUAUAGUUGAACAAAUUAUUAACUUUAAUUAUGUAGUUGAUGUUAUCAUAACAGAAUAACUAACUAAAUUGUCAACAUUAAAGUAUAUAUGGAUGGUUAGAAAGUGUGUAAUAUUCAAUGUGCGUAAAUGAUAUAGGAUGCUAUCAAUUAUUAAAAAAAAAAGAAAAAAACGUUAAGUUUGAUACAUUGAAAACAGUGAAUAUUUGAAUAAUUGGUAACUAUUUGUGAGCAUUGUAUUGUAUAAGAAAAAAUUAUUUACAUGUACCUAAACAGUUUGAAAGUCAUAGCUUAAAAUUUUUUUUAAAAAGCCAAACCCAUUUAUAUUAGCAAAAAAAAUUUGUCAAAAACAAAAUAGCUCAAAAAUUUCAUGAAAUUAGAAAAUAAAAGAAAAAAACAAAACCAAAUCACAAAAUCAAAUUAAACUUCACAAAACAAGAAGAAAAAUAUAAACAAAAUAAAGAAUUUUCACAACAUUAAAGAAAAAAAAAAACCUCCAAAACCCAUUACAAAGACAGCAGCCUAAACAAUAAUUAAAAGGACAAUAAUCAAAAUACAAAAGAGUAAAAAAAUAAAGAAGAACACGACCUCAAAGAAUCAAAUAACAAAGAAAAUGAACAAAAAAGCACCAAAAGAAAUAAAGAAAACAAAACAAAACCAAAAAAAGAAAAGAACAGUGAAAAAAGAGGAGAAAAAGAUGAAAAAAAAAAUAGAGAAAGUGACAAAUGGGAGAGAGCGAAAACCUAGAGGGAAAAAGAAUAAUCUAGAAGCAUAUCAAUCAAAAAGACCAAAAUAACAUGACAAACAAAACCAAAAAGAAAAAAAAAAAAAAAAAAAAAAAAAAAAAAAAAAAAAAAAAAAAAAAAAAAAAAAAAAAAAAAAAAAAAAAAAAAAAAAAAAAAAAAAAAAAAAAAAAAAAAAAAAAAAAAAAAAAAAAACCUU